GCAUCCUACCCGAUUGACACAGUCCGUAGAAGAAUGAUGAUGACGUCUGGUGAAGCCGUCAAGUACAAGAGUUCGAUGGAUGCCUUCCAACAGAUCCUGAAGAAGGAAGGAGCCAAGUCUCUGUUCAAGGGUGCUGGUGCCAACAUCCUCCGUGCCAUUGCAGGUGCUGGUGUGCUUUCUGGUUACGAUAAGCUGCAGUUACUUCUUCUCGGAAAGAAGUACGGAUCUGGAGGUGCCUAAGUACUAAUCCGCCACUCACCACCAUAAAGCCUUCGGCUUUUUUUUUCUUUUUCUUGAUUUAUUGCUGUUUCAGACUUAUUAAAAAAUCAAAGAUGUUGAUGAAAUCUUUUGCUAUAAAACUAGAGAGGAGCAAGGGGGAGUUUUUUCUUAUUGAAAUAAAUUUUGUAUGGGAAGGAGAUUUUCUCCUUCGAACCAAUUUUCGAUUUUUUUUUUUGUUUUAAUAUGAUGAGGAUCUUUUUCUGAGUUAACUUAUGUAUUUCUUUGUGAUUUGCAAAUUUGUUUCCGGUUCUGAAACGUCAUAAUGUUCUAUAUAUUUGAAGCGUCUGUGGGCUGUAGCCAAUUGAAUAGUGAAUAUAUUGCAAUCGCGCUAGAUUCGUUGCUUGAAACGACCGGCCACUCGUCGUCACCUUUGGUUCACGACUCUUUGAUUCCUUGAGAACUCUCUAUUGUUAUGAAGACAAUAUGCGAGAGUGAGUAAAAAUGUCUUUGUAACGCAUAGUUUCAGUGAAUAGUAAAGCGAUAGCUACAAUGAGAUCCAGACAAGUUCAAUUAGGUAGAGCACGUUUCCAUAACUACCAAAAGCAUAAUUACUAAUUAGUGUGAGAUAUGAAAACAAAUAGAAUUUGCUGUAAGGUUAAAGCAAGCCAUAAGCCAUAUUGCCCAUAAGUUUGUAUGUUAAUAUAACUUCUCCAACGACACUAGAAUUCCAAUUCUGCUGUAAAUCCUUUCUCCCCCGUAAAUGUUCAUUGUGUUCAUGAUUUGGAUUCAUGCUUAGGUUGUUUGUUUAUGUGGUCAAUGACGUGCCUGCACACACACUGCACUCUUCAACCUAUUAUUUUCUAUCCAUCGACAAGUUGUUUUUUUCUAUUUUGUCUGAAUUGUUUUCAUUGGCACGAUCCGAACACCAUUUUGUCAUAUGCGGAAAAAUUAAAUCGUUAAUGAUCCGCCAUUAGUCAACUCCGCUUCGCAUUAUUUACUCGUUCGAUCGCUUCUUCUUCUCCGGCGACUUCCUUUCUUUCUCUCUACGAAUCUGUAAGCUUUUAAUUUUACUCCUUUUCUUAUGUCAUACUCCGAAAUUCGCUUCAGACUACUCGAGUUUUCUGCUUCUCCAGAUCUUUCGUUUUUUUUUUUUUUUUUUUUUGUGGUUUGUGGGGUCAAAUUGAUCUGUGUUUCUGGAACUUGGCCGAUUCAUCCUGUUCACUCUUUUCCUCGAUUGAUUCUCAUAAACUCGAUAAAAUUUUGAUUGCUGGACCAUCUUAGUGUGGUUCUCAUUUUGGAAAGUUGCAUUGGCUUUGCUUCUGACGAUUUUUUCACUUUUUGUUGCCUAACUCUAUCUGCAGGAAUGAAUUCGUGAGUGGUGAGGGGUCCUCUGCUAUGUAUGUUGGUCAAUUUAUGCUGAUCAUCACCUAUACCUGAGCAGAAGUUUUGCUUUCUAUUUGCUCUUUUUAUAGUUUCGAUCUUGAAUAAAACAAGAUGGGAAAAGCAUCGGGCUUGCUUCUAUUUCUGUUGGGUUUCGGGUUCUUUGUUGUGACAUAUAAUCUUCUGACUCUGAUAGUCCACAAUAGAUCUGGUGUGCGUAAUUCAGAUGGAAGUCCACUUGUAGAUCCUGUCGUUCAGAUGCCUCAUAGAAAAGUCAAGAACUCCCCAGCACCACGCUUUCAUGUUGCCUUAACAGCUACAGAUGCACCUUACAAUAAAUGGCAGUGUCGUAUUAUGUAUUAUUGGUAUAACCGGAAGAAAGCUCUUCCUGGCUCUGAUAUGGGAGGCUUUACUCGUAUUCUGCAUUCCGGUAAUCCAGAUAACUUGAUGGAUGAAAUACCCACUUUUGUCGUUGAUCCUCUUCCCCCUGGUGUUGAUCUGGUGAGAAUUUUCAUUCCCUCUCUUCUCUUCUCUUGCUCUCACUUUGUUGCUGUUUUAUACUAAGUUGAGUCAGUCUCUUGUGUUUAGGGGUAUGUUGUCUUAAAUAGACCAUGGGCAUUCGUGCAAUGGCUUGAAAGAGCUACCAUCAAGGAAGAGUAAGUCCUGUCUCCCUUCCCUUCUAACAAACAAUUUACUGUUUGCUAAUUCUCCUGCUUGUUGUGCAGCUAUGUGCUGAUGGCAGAGCCUGAUCAUAUAUUUGUUAAUCCCCUUCCUAAUUUGGCUGUUGGAGGAUACCCAGCCGCUUUUCCGUUUUUCUAUAUUACACCGCAAAAGUACGAAAACAUAGUCAGAAAGUACUAUCCAGUGGAGAUGGGCCCUGUAACAAAUAUCGACCCCAUUGGCAAUUCUCCUGUUAUUAUAAGCAAGGUGAGAUUGAUUAUCUGUGCUAUAAAUGAUUGUAUCUGUCUCACUCACAUUUGACUUGGCCCCCAAAGAUUUCUAGAGGCGUUUAGCUAUAUGUGAUGUUGGUGUCCCCUGAAUAUGUGGUUUGUUCUAUAUAUGCAUUUAUACUUGAUGUUGACUUGAAUUUUCUUUCUUAUGCAGGAAUCACUUGAAAAAAUUGCUCCUACAUGGAUGAAUGUCUCGCUGACAAUGAAAAACGAUCCAGAGACUGAUAAGGCUUUUGGAUGGGUGCUGGAAAUGUUAGAACCGGAAACAAAAAUCUCUACUCAAUAAAUUGGCUCCUCGUUGUUUUUUGAAUCCCAUCAUUGUUUUCUGAUCUUCUGUUUUCUGUUCGAUAAGGUACGGUUACGCAAUUGCAUCUGCUCUGCAUGACGUGCGGCACAUACUUCGGAAGGAUUUCAUGGUUCAGGUAGGAUUUAACCAUGCAUGUGCUGAUUACUAUUAAUGAUAUCCUUUUCCAUGUCAGUUUGUUUUUGAUAAUUUGUCUUGUCAAAGUUACAAAAUUAUUUUCUUUGCUCCGUGUUUCUAAGUGCUCUUACUAUAUCUUUCAGCCUCCAUGGGAUCCGUCUACCAAGGACACGUUUAUCAUCCAUUACACUUAUGGAUGUGACUACAACAUGAAGGUGAUUGCUGUUUGACUCGAGUGCUUAAUUUUAUUCUUGGCAGAUAAAUAGAGAACAGAAUUUACAUCUUGAGUAAUUUGUUUCAAGUAUUCUCUCUCAAUACUUAUGCAAUCUCGUGGUCAUUCGUUUUGGCUUAGUUAAUUUAAGUUUUCUUAUUAGACGCUACUGAGUUUUGUUGCAACCUUAUACAAGGUCCUUAAAGUAGGAUGUUUCAGUGAUCUGCCAUCAGAACUCCAUGUUAGUUUUACUUAUAUCUGUUUCAUAAUGCAUUCUAAAAUAAGAACAUUACCGACUGUUAAAUACAGGGUGAGCUGACAUAUGGCAAAAUAGGAGAGUGGCGAUUCGAUAAGAGAUCACAUCUGCGAGGUCCUCCUCCGAGGAACAUUUCCAUGCCGCCUCCUGGUGUUCCGGAAAGUGUGGUAUGUUUAUAUAUACUUACCACUCAAUCUAAUCCUAUAUAUACAACGCCAGACUGUGAAUGACUUGUCUAAAUACUUAUAUGGUUGUUGUGUUUGUGGUGGUGGUGAUGCAGGUGACUCUUGUGAAGAUGGUGAAUGAAGCUACUUCCAAUAUCCCUAAUUGGGACGCUGUCUAACUUACAUAUCCACAAGACACAAACAAUAGGGAGGACCCUAACGAAUCCAAUACAGCAUGUUUUGCCAAAUGAAUACUUUUUAUUUUUUUAUUUUAUUUUAUAACUCUUACAUCCUUCUUUCAGUUAAAUGAUGAACUCAAAGUAAAUUAUGAAAACUGGUUUGAGACAAUGUUUAAGAGAAAUCGUUAGAUGAUAGUUAGAUGGUGAAGACACAUCUUCCAUAAUCAUUCCUAGAAAGAGAGCAGCACUAUUUCUUUUGGUCACAGAAAAGAAGAAAAAAACCAUUUCUUUUGGUUCUAGACUCUAGUUACUAAACUAACGGACCAAUGUGUCCAACUAGACGGAGUUAGUAGUUCCGUCAAUCAGCCUUUUUAUCCAUGAAUUUUUCUUUCCUUUAAUAAAUAAAUAAAUUAUUGAAAAAAAAAAACAAUUCGUUGUCUAUCUCCUCCCUCAACCCCAGAAGAUAAACAGUCUCCUCAUCUUCUUUGAGCAAAAAUGGAAGUCGCUCUUCUCUCCUUCUCUUCUUCCUUGUCUCCUCUCUGCCACAACCGAACUUUAACCUUACAACCCAGAAUCUCCAAAUCUUCAAACCACCCUCGUCUCCCGGUCAUCAGAUCCGCCGUGUCUCGUACCAAAAAGGAAGAAACCGUCGAGACCGUCAAGUCCCAUCUCGAGAACUGCCACCUCCUCGCCGCCAUCAACUACAAAGGCCUCACCGUGAAGCAGUUCCAAGACCUCCGGAGAACUCUCCCCGACACGACAAAGCUCGUCGUCGCCAAGAACACUUUGGUCAUCAAGGCCAUCGAAGGCACCAAAUGGGAAGCUCUCAAGCCUUGUAUGAAAGGCAUGAAUGCUUGGCUCUUUGUCCAAACCGAUGAAAUCCCUUCCGCCAUCAAACCCUACCGGACUUUCCAGAAGGAGCGCAAGCUCGAAGACAAUGACUUUGCCGGUGCCGUCUUCGAAGGUAAGUUUUACGCUCCCGACAAUUUCAAGGCUCUCGAGACCAUGCCUACUCGCGCUGAGAUCUACGCUAAGAUGCUCGGAGCUCUGCAAAGUCCGGCCAUUAAUCUCGUCUCUACUUUACAAGCACCGGCGAUUGAAGUUAUCAUGGUGCUCAAGGCUUAUGUCAAGAAGUUGGAAGACGAGAGUAAUGCAUAGUUGAAGUAAAAGCUGUACUAAAUCUCAGAAGAGAAUGUAAUGUACCCGCAAAGCAAUUCAAUUUUUUGUUUAAGACUCGAGCAGCAACUAUUAUUACAGGCAUUGGGUUUUAUUGAAAUGUUGUUUAUUAGAGUGCUCUCAAGCUAUACCCUGAGAUGGGUCUUGUUCAGAUGUACUUAGAAAGGAUAGACUCAACUACUCCUUGAGCUAUGGGGUGGUAAGUUUCUCGAGCUUCUGCAAAGACCUGUUUCGCCAGCUGCUUCUCUUCGGUUCCACCAGCUUGUGCAAGAGCAGUGAAGAGUGGACGCAGGUACUUCAUCCUUCCUACCGCUUUUAGAGUUUUCUCCACUUCCCCAUGGUACUCUCUGCACUUGGAUGAGAUUGCAAGUUGCAGAAACGACACCUUCACUUCGUAGUCCUUUGAUUCUGCUAGUCUGUACCGCUUGUCCAAGGCCAUCACCUGUUUCACCAUUAAGCAAACUAGGUGUUAGGCAUAGCUUUGGAACCUGAUUUCCAAUUCUUCCUCUAUCGAUCUUCCACUGUCGAUUACAAAUAAGAAAUAAUCCUAAGAAAUUGUUGAAGAGAUCUCCUAACCAUUCCACAGCUAAGAGCCUAAUCGCCAAAUACCCCGACAGCCUGUUUCUCCUCUACUUGUACUAAUCCAAGAAUAACUUUAAUCUAACUGUUAAUUAGUCUGUCGUGGACUUAAUGCACAUUGGCUAAACUCUCUUUUUCUCAUCAUCUUAGAGGAAGGAAGGAAGUAUAAAGACUACCUGAGAAGGUUCACAUGAUUUAGGAAGAUUCUCCAAGUACAGCUCCCAUUCCUGUCCGUUCCACUCAGCAACCUCUUCCUCACUUGGCAUCUUUCCUUGCUUAAACUCUUCUGCCAGGGAUAUGAUCUUUGUGUAAAUGGUUGAGACUGGCUCAUAUGCAUCUUCCGGUAUGCCAACGCCCUCAGUCCACAGAUGUAGGUUGAUCUCUUUCUCUAUGCCAGGGAUGUUUGCUUUCAGGAAUUCGAGAAAUGUAUCUGUAUCGAUCGACUUGAACUUGAAUGUAGCAAUGUAUUUCUUGAGGAAAUCGUCAAAAACAGUCCUUCCAACCUGAAAGUUUUCCAGUAAAUAGAUGACCGUUAUUGGUAACAUUACAUAAGAAAACACCCAAGUAGAAGGUGUAAUACGUAUUUUAACUAGAUGGCUACACAACUAACCUGGCGUUCAAUUCGCAACACAAAUUGGAAGCCUUUUUCAUAUGGAACCUGAGAAUACACAUCAUCUGGAUCAACACCUUCUUGUUUGUUCUUCAGUUUUGUGCAUUCCAAGUUGUCUUUAAACCGUUCCAUUUCGUCGUUUAAACCCCUCCAACCAAUGCCAAUGUUCAAAGUAGCUCUAUCUGCCCCUUGAACAACCUCCACAAUUCUCCUCUCUGCGUAUGUUGUAAAUCCCUAUUCCCAUGAACAAAUUAAAUAAACUUUUUUCUCAUCAACAAGGCAAACUCUAAGUACGGAUACACAGAUUAAUCCAUAUCCCCUAAACCAAACUCUUAAGCUUUUUGUAUUCCUAUUUCUAGCUAAAGAAAGCGAAAGCACAGGACAAUUUAAAGCCUAACACAGUCUUUUUUUAAAAAAAAAGCAUAAACUGAGGCAUAGUAGCUUAGGAAAUCACAAGAGCAUUGAUUGGAAUCAAGAAAAAACCUCAUUCAACCAGAAAUGUUCGUUGUUGAUGUUGGUGAUCAAAUUCCCAGUCCAGCUAUGUGCGAGCUCGUGGGCAACAACUUGAGCACCAGUGGCGUCACCUUUGAUCACAGUGGGAGUCAGGAAAACCAUUCUUGGAUUCUCCAUCCCUCCAUAAGGAAAACUCGGAGGCAGCACCAGCAAGUCAAAUCGUUCCCACUCGUAAUCGCCAAACAGCUUCUCCCCUUGCCUGAUCAUCUCCUCCGUCCCUUCAAACUCCAUCGCAGCCGCAUCAAGAACUUCGCUGGCAGCUGACUCUGCGUAUACCCGAGUCCUUGGUCCCACUUCCCGAAACCCUAACGCACCUACCGCAAACGCAAAAAGAUACGGCGGUAUAAGCUGUUCCAUUACGAACUCUUCCACGACCCUGUCCUCGGCACACCACAGCGACGAACCCAGCGACCCUUCCUCGAGAUGUUUGGCCUCCUCGAGAACCGGAAGCCUACGGCGGACGUGGCGGGCCGACAUGACGGCGGAGAGAGAAGUCGGUAUGUUCAUGACGACGUCGUAGCGGAUCCUGGCGGCAGGCGUGUCCUGGCAAGGGAAAAUGGAUCUGGCGUGAAUGGCUUGGCACUGCGUGUAGACAUAGGGAUGCGUUUUGGAGAAGGUCUGGAGCGGAGAUAGCCACUGGAGAGCGGAGGCUGAAGGAGAAGUGGAGUAGACGAGGAGCAGUGAAGACUGACCAGAGAGGCUAACGACAAUCUCGGUGCCUCGGAUUGGAUCCGGGUUUGUGGAGACGUGGAAAGGGAGGCGUUCGAGAGUUUGGGGAUCAAGGACCAUAUCGAUGGAAAUGCAGCGGGAAUCGAGGGAGAGGUCGCCGGAGAAGGCGGAGGAGAGAGAGAGGAGUGCGGAGCCAUGGAUGAUGGAGGUGUUGAAAUCGAGGUAGAGGGAGAGAGCGACAUGUGUGGUGAGAGGAUGAGAGGAAUCGGUGAAGGAGUGGGGAUCAAUGGGUGCCAUAGCUCAGUGACGAAAUCGGAAGAGCAAAGUUUGGAUUUACGCUUUAGGGUUUUUGAGAAGAUUUCAGGCGCAGUUUGAGAAGAAUUGGACAAGUGAAGAAGGAGAGAGCAUAAAUAAAGCGGGAGAAAAAUAAAACAUCAAUUAAAUGGAGAAUCAUAAUAAAGUGGGAGUGUUAAAGAAAACGUUUAAUAUUUGGAAUAAUAUAUGAUGAUAAUUUAAUUUUAUUCGAUCUCAUUUUUAGCACAUUAUAUAAUUUGUGGAUGACUAUUGUGUAUGUGUUUCCUUCAUAAAAAACCAGAUACGUAUUUGUUGUGUUGAAAGUCUUGGCUGUAAAAGAAAAGUAGGAAGAAUCUGAAGAAACUAAAUACGUAUUUAUGAAAAACAGACUUAAAGUUUGCUAUAAUAAUGAUUGAUGAUUACUGCAAGCAUCAUGGUAUUCAAAAGCACAUAAACAUCAUUAGUGAGAAAACAUGACUAUGUAGAUUUUGUUACCUCAAUUGUUGUUUAUCUCAUCAACAUCUCACCAUUAGACUCCAUGCCCAAUUGUUGUGUAAGUGAAUUUGCACAAGGUCCAUCAAAAUUUGAGGUCCAUUUUCUAUCAUAGAAUUGUUGACCAAAAGCCUUUUUUUUAUGGAUCAUAAGCAAAAUAUUAUAUAUUAUGGCAAUAAUCAAAGCCCAUUUCAUAUGAUAGCUCUUGGCUUUGUUUACCAUUGACUCGGAGGAUCUGACUAGUUGUGAAAAAUUUCAAAACAGGUUUGGAGAUGCAAAAAUAAAAUAAAAAAACAUAAGGAAAGUCAAAUCCAAUGACUAAGCAAGAGAUCCGCAAGAGGUAAAAUAUUCCAAAAUCUGAAAUGGUGAAAUAAAUGAAAUUUUUAAUCAGUUGUGAUGUUUGCUUAUGUGAAGACACAAAUUUACUAAGAUAAUUCAAAGGCAAAGAAUUCUAUCAGGAAAAAGUCAAGAAAAUCAGUCUCUCAGUGGAAGACAAACGCAUGAAAAGACUUACGAUCAAGUGCAAUUAACCUCCAAGGUAGAGUUACUACAGGAAGACAAAGAAGAUAUAAUGAUUCAGAAAAGUAAAAGAGCUAUUUCCGUAAUAAUAAUUUUCUUAGGGACCUUAGUGGUGCAUUAUAAAUCUGAUGGCUGACAAAUUACUCUGUGGACAGGUCAGAAAGCGGGUUCUUGGCUCAACGCCAAAGGCACCAAACCGUCAAAACCGACGAACCAGAACUCGACUCACCUACUAACUAGACCUUCCUCCCCCAAAAAAUAUUAUUAAGUAAAAAAAUUAAAAAAAUCAUCAUUUCAGUAUAAAACCCUGAAGAAGAACCUUUUUCACAUUUUCUUACAUUUUUUUUUUCUUGCUCGACUCAAACGUGUCUGAUUUCCCAGCAAUUUUUUUGAUCUACCUUUCAAAAAUUCUCCUUUUCUACUCCAUGGAUCUGUUCUUCUCUCCUUGAUCUGGAUCGACUUUGUUUUCCCGGACAUAUGUUCUGAGGAACUCUCUCUCUCUCUCUCCUUGUCUUCAAGUGAUUGCCUUUCACACUCCCUCUACUCUCUGAUCUCGAGACCAGAAUUUUUUUUUUUUUUAGGGCUUUCUCAUUUGAGCUCUAAUGGUGGGGAGAAUGAAGGUGCCUUGUUGUUCCGUGUGCCACACGCGGUAUAAUGAGGACGAGAGAGUUCCUCUAUUGCUUCAAUGCGGCCAUGGCUUCUGCAAGGAUUGCUUGUCCAAGAUGUUCUCCACCUCUUCCGACACCACCCUCACUUGUCCCCGCUGCCGCCACGUGUCCGUUGUCGGGAACUCUGUCCAGGGCCUGCGGAAGAACUACGCUAUGCUUGCCCUCAUCCACGCCGCAUCCGGCGGCGGAAACUUCGAUUGCGAUUACACGGACGAUGAUGACGAAGACGGCGAGGAUGAUGGAAGCGACGAUGAUGGAGCUGCUCGUUCCGCCCGAGGAUUCCAUGCCUCCAGCUCGCGUAACAGCUCGUGUGGUCCGGUGAUCGAGGUCGGAGCUCACCCGGAGAUGAAGCUGGUGAGGCAGAUUGGGGAGGAGAGCAGUGGUCCCGGAGGUGUUGAGAUGUGGGAUGCGACUGUUGCAGGCGGCGGUGGAAGGUGUAAGCACCGUGUGGCGGUGAAGAAGAUGUCUUUGACGGAGGAAAUGAAUGUGGAUUGGAUGCAGGGACAGCUUGAGAGCUUGCGGAAGGCAUCGAUGUGGUGUCGGAAUGUUUGUACUUUCCAUGGGGUAGUGAAGAUGGAGAGAUCUCUUUGUCUCUUGAUGGAUAGAUGCUAUGGGUCUGUUCAGUCUGAGAUGCAACGCAAUGAAGGCAGGCUCACUUUGGAACAGAUCUUAAGGUUCCUCUUUUGCGUAUACUUCAUGCCUAAUCUCUUGCUUUACUUUCAUCAUUUCUGUGCCUAAAGUUUCAUACUUUAUUAUCCUGUCUCCUUAUUGGAAAUUACUAGACGAAACCCGACUUGUUCUUUUUUUCCGUGAUUGCUGUUAGGAAGAUCUAGGAAUUGCGCUGAUUUUCAGAUUCUAAUGAAAAAAAGCAACCAAAAAACCUUGCUCUCACUUGCUAAAAUAACACUAGUUUUGGAUAUUCUUGUGCUGAGCUUAGUUGUCAUCUCUCUUUGUCAUUACGAGCUGCGGCCACUUUUCAUUUUUCAGUGGAGAAACAUUUUGAUUUGAACUAGUCCUUGCCUGUUUUAGUAGUGGAAGCCUUGAGUCUUGUUGUUGGAAGUCAUCUCCAUGGUAGGAUCAUAUGUAGAUCAAUUGAAUACUUUCAUUUUGGGAUUGUUAAAUGAAAGAACUGAGUAAAUGAAUGAUCUUUGUAUUCUCCUUCUAUAGGGUACUCAUGAUGCUUUACUUUUUCAGUGACCAACCUAUGUAUUACUCCAUUGCUCUUGUCUUGAUAUUAAACUUUCACCAACUGUAGAUAUGGGGCUGAUGUUGCUCGAGGGGUUGCAGAACUCCAUGCAGCAGGUGUUAUAUGUAUGAAUAUAAAACCUUCCAAUCUUCUUUUGGAUGCAAAUGGCAAUGCUGUGGUUUCUGAUUAUGGGCUCGCUCCCAUUUUGAAGAAGCCAACAUGCCAGAAAACUCGACAAGAGUUCGAACCCUCGAAAAUCACACUAUGCACAGACAGUAUAACACUCAGUCCACAGUACACUGCGCCAGAGGCUUGGGGGCCAGUGAAAAAACUUUUUUGGGAGGAUGCAAGUGGUGUAUCUCCAGAGUCAGAUGCAUGGAGUUUUGGCUGCACGUUGGUAGAGAUGUGCACUGGCUCCACUCCGUAUGUGAAGCCUCUUCUCACUGCAUAUUACUUCUCGUGUUUUGUGUCCGCCAAUGUGCUAACUGUCUCUUAUUUUGCAGGUGGGAUGGUCUUAGUAGAGAUGACAUUUUUCAAGCUGUUGUGAAAGCCCGGAAAGUACCACCUCAGUAUGAACGUAUAGUAGGUGCGGGAAUUCCUCGAGAAUUAUGGAAAAUGAUUGGUGAAUGUCUUCAGUACAAACCAUCGAAAAGACCAACUUUUAAUGCGAUGCUUGCUACAUUUCUUCGUCAUCUACAAGAGAUACCACGCAGCCCUUCAGCAAGCCCUGAUAAGUAAGAGUUAGAAGUCUUUUUAUUGCUUCACAGUAAAGAAGACCCUUUCACUUGUGUUGAACGGUUCUAAAUUAAUAUAGCAUUAGUGGCUAAGAUUGCUUGUGUCACUCUUUCACCUAACGAUUUUAUAAAUCAUGUAUGAUGUAGUGGGUUUACCAAAAUAUGUGGAGUAAACAUUGUAGAAGAAACUCGUGCGACUAACAUGGGGGUCUUACAGGAUAACCCUAACAACCUACAUCGGGUUGUUUUGGAGGGGGACUGCGAGGGUGUAAGGUUGGUAUCUGUUAGGAAUUUUAUGUUGAUCCUUUUGAUUUGACUAGCUAUAAACAACUUUUUCUCAACUACAUUGGUUUGAUUUUGUUUUGGAGUAGAAAUAUACUAGCAAAGGCUGCAGCUGGAAGCGGUGGAAGCUCUGUGCGAUUUCUAUUAGAGGCGCAAAAUGCUGAUGGUCAGUCUGCUCUUCACUUAGCUUGCAGACGUGGCAGUGCCGAACUUGUAGAGGCUAUAUUGGAGUAUGGGGAGGCGAAUGUGGAUAUUGUGGACAAAGAUGGGGAUCCUCCUCUUGUCUUUGCUUUAGCAGCUGGUUCUCCACAAUGUGUUCAUGUUCUCAUUAAAAAGGGGGCUAAUGUCAGGUCCAGACUGCGGGAAGGAUCAGGCCCGUCUGUUGCUCAUGUUUGUUCGUACCAUGGCCAACCUGAUUGUAUGCGUGUAAGUCCCUGCUCCCGAGGAAGUUAUCAGUCACUUUAAAGCUUCCACUGCAUGUUCACAAAUCCUCCACUUUUACGAAGUAUAUUAGAACUUAGGCUACUCUUAUAUCGACUAUUUGUUAACGGUUACACUUUGCUUAUUGAUACUAUUAAUAGGAAUUGCUGGUAGCUGGAGCUGAUCCAAAUGCAGUGGAUGAUGAAGGUGAAACUGUGCUUCAUCGAGCUGUUGCCAAGAAAUACACAGAUUGUGCCAUUGUUAUAUUGGAAAAUGGGGGAUCUAGAUCAAUGGCCGUUUCAAAUGCAAAGUUCCUGACGUAAGUACAGAACUGAACUCUUGUAUGCUAGCUAUACGCCACCAUAAGAUCAGACACUGACUAGGUUAUUACUGGGACUUUUUACAACCAGUUCUGAUUACAGAAACUGACUCUAUUUUUUUCUUCGUUCUUAUUCUCCUAUUUUGCAUCUACGUUAGAACUUAUCAUGAUUAGUAGCAUUGUCCCCGUACUCCUUAAACUGACUCUUAAAGUGAUUUAUGUGUUAUCAUUCAUGGUUCUUCUCGUUCUUUGGAAAACAUAUUCCAUUUGUAAACCUAUGUUUCUGUUGUUUAUGCUAUAGAUCUUAUACUUUAUUUUUGUUUCAGACCGUUACAUAUGUGUGUAGCAACAUGGAAUGUUGCUGUUAUCAAGAGAUGGGUGGAAGUUUCCAGUCCAGAAGAAAUUUCUCAGGCAAUUAAUAUCCCAAGUCCAGCUGGCACUGCUUUGUGUAUGGCUGCUGCUAUAAGGAAAGAUCAUGAAAAGGGUAUGUAUGACGAUAUCUCUGUUGUCCUGUGCUUUUUUUGCAAUGCCAAUUUUGGCAUAUAGGACCUUUGUAUUAUGAAUAUCUGAUCUUUUGUGUGUGGACGUCUAAGAAUUUUUAUCUUUUAUUGGUUAGACACGAUGGUUGCUGCCAUCCCUAUAUGAUACAGAUAUUUUAAAACUACAUUGCCAGUGGGUUUUUUAUGUAGUAAAUCUAAAAGACCAGUUUAUAGUUUUGUAAACUAUGGAAAAAGAGUGUUAUGUGAAUUUUUCCCUGCUAUUUUUUACAAUUGUGUCGCGUCAUUGUUGGAUGUUAUGUAUAUAUCUUUUAUAUGUUGUAUAAAUCAGUUUACUUAGCAUGUAUACUGCUGCAGAAGGUAGAGAGCUAGUCCAGAUAUUGCUUGCGGCUGGGGCAGAUCCGACUGCGCAAGAUGCUCAGCAUGGUCGAACAGCGUUGCAUACUGCUGCUAUGGCUAACAAUGUGGAACUUGUGAGAGUAAGAUUUCCUACCAAUAAUGUAAUAAAGUUGAUGUUUUAAAGGGGAAGAAUAGUAUUAUCUUUUGUCAGUGUUGAUAGAUGUGCUGUUGCGGAGCACCAAACAUUUCUUAAAUCUAAGAAUUACACGCUUUCCUAUCAAUGCUGUGAAUAAUAUAUGGUGUGAAUUGAAAGUUGUAGAGGUAGUUAUUGAGGAAAAGCCGAAGAAUACAGUGCCAAGUAUCUUCAGUGUUGAUAAACUUUCGUACAUUUCACUCAUAUCUUUCGUUUGAAUUAUUAUAUUCUGCCUUACAGCCAACUACGUUUGUCUAAUUUGAUAGGUCAUUCUCGAUGCUGGUGUGAAUGCGAACAUCCGGAAUGUUCACAAUACAAUUCCCCUUCAUAUGGCUUUGGCCAGAGGGGCGAAUGCCUGUGUUAGCCUACUUCUGGAGUCUGGUUCGGACUGCAAUAUAGAGGUAAUAGUGCAGGCUUCCGUAGGUUUUAUGAGUUAUUUGUUAUCGGCAGUCUCCUUUAAUGCCAAGACUAUAUUAUCUUAUCCUCGUGCAGUCAGAGCUGGCUUUCAAUAUGUGCUGUUUUUAUCUUGUCACUUGACUUGUCUUCUUCUGUUUUCGUUAUUGUAAGGAUGAUGAAGGAGACAACGCAUUCCAUAUAGCAGCAGAUGCGGCAAAGAUGAUACGUGAAAACCUUGAUUGGUUAAUUGUGAUGCUUAGGAAUCCUGAUGCUGCUGUGGACGUCAGAAACCACAGGCGAGCACUAAUUUUAUGCUAUUUUAAAUAUGAAAUCGUUGAAAUGAAUGAGUAUACUCAUUGCACGGGGGUAAUGUCAGUUUCCUGUCAGUGGUUGUGAAAUCCACUCACACAAAAUUUACUUCAGAUGCGAGCAUUUUGACCAUCGCCUGUUCCUUCUAUGAUCAUAAUUAAUAUACUUUUUGAAUAACAGUGGCAAGACAGUACGUGACUUCUUAGAAGCCCUUCCAAGAGAAUGGAUUUCAGAGGAUCUGAUGGAGGCGCUAUUAAAAAAGGGAGUUCAUCUAUCACCUACAAUGUGAGGACUCUUCUGAAAUCUUUCCGCUGAUAUGCACCUCUGCACAGAUAACUGACGCUGGUUUCAAAUUCUCAGCUAUGAGGUAGGGGAUUGGGUGAAGUUCAAAAGAGGCAUAACAACACCCGUACAUGGAUGGCAAGGUGCUAAGCCUAAGAGUGUUGGGUUUGUGCAAACCAUUCUUGAGAAGGAGGACAUGAUUGUCGCAUUUUGUUCUGGUGAAGCUCGUGUGUUGUCAAAUGAAGUUGUUAAGUUGAUUCCAUUGGACAGGGGCCAGCAUGUAAGACUCAGAACAGAUGUCAAAGAGCCAAGGUUUGUAAGUGCUUUCCUUGUAGUAUGCUUAUUUUCUACGCCCGAUAUCUUGGAUGAACAUUUUCCUCUUUGUCAUGUUUGUCUUUCUGGUCCUGAACAAUUAAUUAAGCUUCAGUCUAAAUCAUCCAAAACCAUCAAGUUGGCGCUACAAAAGCUGUUAGAAAUUACGGUGUAAUUCAUUUACCGAAGUCAUGACUAUAUAUGGUGUUGAUUGCUUUUUAUUUUAGGUUUGGUUGGCGUGGCCAAUCACGUGAUAGUGUUGGCACUGUUUUAUGUGUUGAUGAGGAUGGGAUCUUACGAGUUGGUUUUCCUGGAGCAUCUCGAGGCUGGAAAGCUGAUCCUGCCGAAAUGGAACGUGUGGAAGAGUUCAAAGUCGGGGACUGGGUCCGUAUCCGUCAGAAUCUGACUUCAGCAAAACAUGGUUUUGGAUCUGUUGUCCCAGGGAGUAUGGGAAUUGUUUAUUGUGUAAGGCCAGAUAGCAGCCUCCUGGUGGAGUUAAGUUAUCUUCCAAAUCCCUGGCAUUGUGAACCCGAAGAAGUUGAGCCGGUUGCUCCCUUUAGGGUAAUAAACUAUAAUGUAGAUUUCUUAGAAGUAGUUCUUACGGUCAUAUCAGAAGUUCAGUCCAACAAUUUUCUUAAUAUUAUAGAUUGGUGAUCGAGUGUGCGUAAAGCGGUCAGUUGCCGAACCUCGAUAUGCUUGGGGUGGUGAGACACACCACAGCGUUGGCAAAAUUAGUGAGAUAGAGAAUGAUGGUCUCCUUGUAAUUGAAAUACCAAACCGACCUAUACCAUGGCAGGCAGAUCCUUCGGACAUGGAAAAGAUUGAUGAUUUCAAGGUAAAGCUGGUUUUCUCAUGGAGUCACAAGGAUGAAAAAAUUUGGUUUUUUUCUUUUUUUAAAAAGCAUCUCAGUUAGAUCUGCAGCAUCUCAAGAGCUUUCAUUCUCUUAACACUGAGUCUUUGUACCACGAGCAGGUUGGUGACUGGGUAAGAGUGAAGGCGUCAGUGUCUUCGCCGAAAUAUGGAUGGGAAGACAUUACUCGAAACAGUGUUGGCGUGAUGCACAGCUUAGACGAAGAUGGUGAUGUGGGCAUAGCGUUCUGUUUCAGGAGCAAGCCUUUUUCAUGUUCUGUGACAGAUGUUGAGAAGGUUGUACCCUUUCAUGUUGGGCAAGAGAUUCAUAUGAUGCCAUCUAUCACCCAACCACGACUUGGAUGGUCAAAUGAGACUCCAGCAACUAUUGGUAAAAUAAUAAGAGUCGACAUGGAUGGGACUCUGAGUGUAAGUUUCUGAAAUAGAUCAUUUCGUAGAUUGAUUGGGCUGUCCUUAGCUUUUUUCGUUUUCAGGAGUAAUUCAUAAUCGAGUGUUGUGUUUGUUUCUGUUCUCCUGUAGGCGCAGGUGACUGGUAGACAGACAUUGUGGAGAGUCUCACCUGGUGAUGCAGAGCUGCUCUCAGGUUUUGAAGUCGGUGAUUGGGUGCGCUCAAAACCAAGCCUAGGAAACAGACCAAGCUAUGACUGGUUUAGUGUAGGAAGGGAGAGUAUUGCCGUUGUUCAUAGCAUACAGGAAACAGGUUACUUGGAGCUGGCGUGUUGUUUCCGGAAAGGAAGAUGGAGUACUCAUUACACAGAUUUAGAGAAGAUUCCAGCUUUGAAAGUUGGCCAGUUUGUACAUUUCCAGAAAGGCUUAACAGAACCAAGAUGGGGCUGGAGAGGAGCUAAGCCCGAUUCACGAGGCAUCAUAACAACUGUUCAUGCUGAUGGAGAGGUAAGGGUUGCUUUCUUUGGAUUGCCUGGGUUGUGGAGAGGAGAUCCAGCAGACUUAGAAGUGGAGCGUAUGUUUGAGGUUGGAGAAUGGGUAAGACUUAGAGAAGGUGUUCCUAGUUGGAAGUCCAUCGGACCAGGAAGUGUUGGUGUAGUGCAUGGAGUGGGAUAUGAGGGAGACGAGUGGGACGGAACCACUUCAGUUUCGUUUUGUGGCGAGCAAGAAAGAUGGGCUGGGUCUUCUUCACAUCUAGAGAAAGCAAAGAAGCUUGCAGUCGGACAAAAAACUCGGGUCAAACUGGCAGUGAAACAGCCUAGGUUUGGGUGGUCAGGCCAUAGCCACGGGAGUGUAGGAACCAUAGCAGCCAUUGAUGCGGAUGGUAAGCUACGGAUAUACACACCAGCCGGCUCUAAAACGUGGAUGCUAGACCCAUCGGAAGUGGAAACCAUAGAAGAAGAAGAGCUCAAGAUUGGGGACUGGGUUAGGGUAAAGCCGAGCAUCACAACACCCACUUACCAAUGGGGAGAGGUGAACCCUUCAAGCAUAGGGGUGGUUCACAGAAUGGAGGAUGGGGACUUAUGGGUAUCUUUCUGUUUCCUAGACAGGCUAUGGCUUUGCAAAGCCGGGGAAAUGGAACGUAUAAGGCCGUUUGGAAUUGGAGACCGGGUAAAGAUAAAGAACGGACUGGUUACACCUCGGUGGGGUUGGGGAAUGGAGACACAUGCAAGUAAAGGACAUGUUGUGGGAGUGGAUGCAAACGGGAAAUUGAGAAUAAAAUUCCUCUGGAGAGAAGGCCGGCCAUGGAUCGGUGAUCCUGCUGAUAUCGUUCUAGAUGAACCUUCUGGCUGAAUCUCCCAGUUGUAAGAUUAUGUUUUGAAUCUGGAAGAUUGAUCAUUAGGCUAUGCAUGAGGCUGCUAUGUGUGCAUUACAUAGACAUAAGAGCUCCCUAAGACCUUGUGCCAACAGGUAAUCUAUCUAUCUCUUAGUCUCUCUGAUGAUGAUUUAUUGAUAUUUUUGUUAAUAAAGAUAAACUAUAGAGUGGUAGGAGAUAUUUAGGGUGUAUCAUCUGUUAUGUCUAGACACGACUUUUUAAAAAUCUCACAUCUCUUUUUGUUUAUAUUCUCGUUUGUAUGUUCUUUUUUUGUAUAAAAUAAUGAAUCGCAUGUACGGACGGCUUUCUUUAGUAUUAACAAAGUCUAUUGAGUGGCUUAGCCCAAAGUAGCAGUAUAUUACAGGAACUAAGUCGGAUGUGCUAAAGAAACGAGCCUCUCGUUCAUACAAAAACUCGUAUAUUUUUGUAAAAUUAUGAGAAUUUAGAAACUUACGUUUUUCACCAAAAACUCUUUUUUUUUUUCUAGUGACUGUUUGUAGUCAUAUCAUACGUUCGAAUGAAGAAUAGAAAUGACUUCCUUUAAGAUAGCGAGCUCUGUCCCAGUGUCACCAAGGUCUAUUUUUAUUUGGAUAAAUUUUUAUUAUCCGGUAAAAGUAGAGUAAGAAUGCUUUUAGGUGAUAGUGUUACAGUAAAGAUUGUGCUGUUUACAAAAUCGCAACAACUAUACACAGAGAGCUACUUUACAUUACAUGAUUCUUUAUUUGUCCCCUGACAACAAUGGCUCCUUCAACGGAUUGUUGGAGGACUGAAGAUCACUGUAUGAUGAUGAAUUGUUGUUAUUCCCAUACCUUCUCAAGAAACUUGGUUUCUUGUCUUCCAAGUUAGAGCUCUGUACGAAAGUAAGGCACACCUGUACGGCGUCGUGUACUCUCACAAAGUACCAUUCUUUUCCAACAAGCUCCACCAUUCCUGAUCUUGCUAUCGUCAUGUGAACAUCUUUGUUCGGAUUUGAAAUCGCUAGCUGAAUGUCCCUUGUUUUGUACUCCUGAUACAAUUCUUUCAAGGCUUCCACCGCGCUCGAGUCUAUGUGAGUAACAGCUGCAAUUGUUUGUAUUUUGUUCAGGGACUCUCUAUUCUCUUUAAAAACAUGAAUAAUUGAGAUUCAACAUUAAAUUAUAGGGCCUUACGAGACAUUUCCAGGAUAACAAAAGAGAUUCUCUCCACCUUUGGUCCUCGGGUUGUGUAUUUGUCAACAGCAACUUCAUAUUCUCGUAGUCUGCACAUUUCAAUAAAAGAAAAAACGGCUCGUUAUUCUUUCUAUUGAUUCACACUACAAGGAAUAAAAUUGCCACCCGCACCUGUCCUUGAUGUAGCUUAUGUUGGCAAAGUAAAUAGGAGAAUCGAUUCGGACAAUCACAAUCCCAUUGUAUGUGUAAGCCUCUGGAUACUGCUUUAUGUUUCUGUACACGGUGGUGCCUGGAAGACGACCCAAGACAGCUACCAGGAGAACAACCAAGAUACGAAGUGAAACCUAAGUUAGUAAAUAGGCACUCUCAAAAUGCAUGUGACCGAGAGGCAAUUGAACAGAAUUCCUCUUACCAAUGUGAGGGUUUGCAGAUUCGUGGAUAACGAAUGCUAGUGAAAAACCAACCUAAAAUUGAAAGUAUUGCAACUGCGUGAGUACUUAGAAGGCUUUGCAGAAUUCACAUAUAUACACACACUAGUUAGGUGAAUCUGAACAUACUAAGAGUCUCUAAAACUCACACCAACAAGGACACCGAUCUCUAUUCCUAAGAACAAAGUCGUGGUGCUAGUGAUGAUCCAAAGAGUAAAAUCCCUCUUGUCCACACGCCACAGAAAGAUAGCUUCAUCAUAGUCCACCUAUAGGCAAACAUCCGGAAAGUGUAAAUAAGAAACCAGAAGCAAUAUUCAUCUUCGCUCUCUGGCAGGUGGGUUUACUUGAACUUACCAAGCCACUAACAGCAGAGAUCACUAUUGCUGCCAAAGCACACUGUGAAUUCGAGAGAGAUAAGCAACAGAGUGAAAGUUAGAAGCCAGUAGCUAAAUUAGCAGUUAUCCAAAGUUUCAGAAAGAGCAGCAAGAAGCCAGUAGCUAAAUUAGCAGUUUUCCACAGUUUCAGAAAGAGCAGCAAGUAGUGGAAACUGAAGUAUUCAUCACAGGCAAACAGACCUGUGGUAUGUAUUUAAACACCGGUGUCAAAAACAGUAGAGAACAUCCAAUGAUGAUUCCCGUUAUAAUUCCUGAUAGGCCAGUCUUAGCUUCACUUUCAUUAUUCACAGCUGACCUGGAAAAGGAUCCUAAAUUUUGCAUUCAGGACGUUUACAUAUUCGUUAACUUAAAAGACAAAUUGUAUAACACUAAUUUAUAUUGGAAAAAUUAUAUACGGAUUCGUCAAUUGUUAAUGGUUUUUAUCAUCUGAAGAUAACGUACCUGUAGCUGGGUAUGCGGAAAAUAAUGAACCCAAUAUAUUUGCAACACCAAGACCAAACAACUGUCAAUUGAGGGGAGAAACAGUUUAGCUUUCAAUGAAACGGCGUAAAAGAAGACGAAAAAAGAACAGCAAUAUUGUCUACAGCAAAUGGGAUACUACUUAUUUUUCUUCAGUCAACCAGAAUACCUCUGAAUUUGAAUCCAACUCAUAUCUGUUUUUUGCUGCAAGUGCUUUGGCAAUACCCACAGACUCCUGGAAAAAAAAAAACAUGUAGAACUAGUUCAUUAGGAAAAACAAAACAUUAAAUCAAUUGAUAUGCGUUACUGCAUCCGAAUCUAAACAAGAAAUUAUAUUGUUUUUUUUCCUUAGAAAGUCAGAUAGCCAUCUCCAUCCAUUGAUUGACAGGCGUUACUUCAUCCAAAUCUAAACAAGAAAUUAUCUUCUUCUCUUUUGCCAUAGGAAGUCAGAUAGCCAUCUCCAUCCAUUUAUAGUUUCUAAUGAUUAGGUUCAGCAGCAAUUCCCAUAUGCCCACCCGGAUAAAUGUAAUGAUAUUGAUGUCUCACCAAGAUGGCAACACCAGUAAUGAGAGCUGAUGUUGGAAGCAAUGUUUUCGCAUGAUCAAAACUUCUUGGGAAAGAAAAUGAUGGGAGGCCCUGAGGUAUUUCUCCAACCUGAAACAUAGUAGAUUUUGCUAUUACUGCAAACACUUAACCACUAUAUAGCUCAACAAUGAAGCUACAGUAUAUAUAGUUUCGUUCUUCAGUGAUCUGACCAGAGAUAUGGAAGGCGGAUGGAACACUUUUGCAAUGGUUGUACCGAGCACGAUCCCUGUGAGUGGCGCAGCUGCUCGUAAGAACUGAAGUUCCUUCCUUGCUUUACCCUGCCAUGAAGCACCAUGACCUUAUUAUCACACUAAUAAAGGAAAGUUCUGUUUCCCUGGUAACACUGGAAAGAACAAGGCUCAUACCACAUGCUUCAUCACUUGAAGGAUCACUAGAAUGAGAGAUCCCAUCAAGAAAGGUGGCCACUGAAACUACAAAAAGGAAAAAAGAUCCAUCUAAAUAAACUGCGAAUAAGUAGAAACAAAAGACUUUCUUUUCCAAACUGAUUCAUCAGUAAUAGUCAUGAUAUACAAGCAAAAUCUUCAUAGCAUGAUGAUCAAAAAUAAGUCCGAGCUACAUGUGGAUAUAGGGAAAGCCAUAUAUACUAAAACUUAUAACCAGGUAUUGACAGUCCUCGGGAGCAAUGGGUAGAAAUAGAAUAUGCAGAUCAAAAUAUAAAGAGGUGGAACAAACAAAAUUUCUCAGUCUAGAUCAAAAUUAUAGAACCUUAGCCAAAGAGAAGAGUAUUUUUUUCCUUCGCUGUUCAAAUAUGGAAAUGGAAGUUUCACCUUAUCAGCUCCAGCUAUUAUGCUCUCUACUAGUGGCACAAUCUUACUGCUCCUGGCAAUGCUAUACCCCAGGAAAUAUUUCACUUGAGACAAUCCAAUCACAAUGGCCGAAGCACUUGUAAAUCCAGAUAUGACCGAGUGACUUAUGAAACGAAUAAGCCAUCCAAGCCUGGAAAACACAAACAAGGGGCAUGCUCAGGACACAGCAAUAAAUAGAGGACUUUUGAUUUAAGGGAUAACACUAAAAGCCCGCAGAAUAAAGUUAAAUGAGUAGCAGUCAAAGAUCAUAAACGGUUUCCCUUCUCUGAAUUCCAAAGAUACUAACCUUAAGAGCCCCAUGAUGCACUCCAAGAUUCCAACCAAAAGAGCCAACAAAAUGGCAAGUUCGAUAUGUAGUUCCUCGGAAGAAUCAUCGAUUCCGCCCAAAGCAUUAGAGACAAGAAGAGACACCAAUGCUACAGGUCCAAUUGCAAGCUGACGGGAUGAGCCGAAUACAGCAUAAACAAAUAUCGGCACAAAUGAUGAGUCUGCAAUCAAAAGUUAUAGAGCUAAAAUCAAGCUUGACAUAAUUAUGCAUUUCUUUUAAAUCAAGACCGCAAGAGUUCGUAUGAGAAUUAAAACUCACAUAGACCGUAAAUCGGUGGCAGGCCAGCUAGUUUUGCGUACGACAUUGCCUGGUCAAAUCCAUCAAAAGUUAAUUCAAAUCGAACAGUGCGCAUUCUUACUGAAAAUCUCAAUUAAAGUAAUCUCUUAAGAUUCACCAAAGGAAAAGGUUGUUUUGAUGAUUCCAGCUUCCUUAAGCUUCAAUCAGAGGGAAAAGAGAAAAACCUGGGGAACAAGCAUUAUACCGACGGUGACACCGGCCAUGAGAUCGAGCUUAAAAUACUCGUUCCAUCGGUAAGUUCGAAUCCAACGGAAGCAAGGGAAGAGAGUAUCAAUCCAAUCGAGGAGGGUCAUGCGCUUGAGAUUGGCGGUCCAUCCGGAGAAGAUAUCGUCGAAAGGGAUGGAAGGAGGACGAGCGUCAUUGGAGGUGUCUGGAUGCUGGAGCGGGAUGACCUUGACGGGUCGGGUCUGACCGGGAAGCUUCGGGGAAGAAGACGAACCGCUACCAGUCCCGGAUCUUGAAACAAGGCUCGUCAGGUCCUUCACGCUGAGGGAUGCGUAGGACAUGGCUAUACGCGCACCUUUGGCGCAAACUUUAGAAUCCGUUGAUGAUGAUGAAUGAUGAGAAAGAAUGAAAAAUAUAUCUCUGUCAAAGUGCAAUCGUUUCUUUCAUUUCCACGAGGGAAAGAAAGCUUUACUCUAGUGGUGGUCAAUUUUGUUUCAGCUUACCUGACAUUUUUUUAUUUUUUUAUUUAUUUUUUUAAUAACCAGCGAACACCUUCCUUGGAAAAAAGAAAAACAGAAAAUUCUUUAAAAUUUGAAGGAUUUUAGAUUGCAUUUAGUAAAAAAUAAGUAUUUAAUUUAGAUGAAUUAUUAUAUUGUUAUUAACAAAUAUGAUAAAAUGGCAUUGACACCAUCUCAUCUCAUGGUUUUUCAAUGGGUUAAUAAUUCAAACUACAAUUUCUUUGAACUAAAUGGGUAAACUUAACCACUAAACCAGUCAAAUAACCUAUGAAAACCAAUGGAUUUCUAUGAAAUCAGUCUUUGUAUAUUUCGGUUAGACGAUUUAGAAACGUUUAUUGACUGUUGGAGACUAAAUAAAUUGCGUGUGUUUUUUUCUUCCUCAAAUCAUACAAAACUCUAGUAUCGAAUUCAGAACGAAAGUGGCGAUCGAUAGAAAUCUAAAGGAAAAUCGUAUUUUGAUCUCACUUAUUAAGCCAUAAAAAAAAAAAGUUAAUAAUACGCAGCUGUUAAUUUACACAAAGCAAUUGUAGGCGAAAUAUAUAAAUUAACGUACACUUGUACAGUAAAGUGUAAAACCAUUGGAAGCCUAAUUAAUUUUGUCUUGGUCUUACGAUGACGUACGUACUUGAUUAGUUUUGUUAUCACAAUUUUAAAUUAGUUGUUAUUAUUGCAUGGUGCAGUUGUUGUCACUUGUUAAUUUCGUCACGUUUAAAUACUAGAAAACAGUCAUCCAAUACAAGUGGCUUUCGUGCCAGUAACGACGAUUUUGUAAUGAGGAUGAUAAAUUAUUUAAUACCACCGAAACAUGGAGGGAAUAAAACAUGUGUUGGAAGAAGAAAAAAAGAUCAGGGUGAAGAUGGACGUUAAGCCGUCUAGAUCCACGAUGUUGAUGAGUGGGGUCAACUCUUGUUCCAUUAAACUUUCAUAAGAGCCAAAAAUAGUUAGAAAAUAAUUCACAAAACAAAUCCUGAGGUUUUCAAUUUUCACAUUCAAAACCAUCAGCUUUAUUUUUAUACAUCAAGACUUUUGAUUUGAAGAAAUCCAACGUUUUGGUGAAGCCAUGUUUAAGAAAUCUCAACUGGAUUUUAGAUAAGAAAAAAAGUAUGCAAUGACUUUAUUUUGGAGAACAUUAAUCUACUUAACUUUUUCAUAGUAAAACCUGGAACAAUUUCUAAAAACUGAUAUACAAAAUGUGUAUGAAAUAAGAAAAUUUUGGGUUAUAUUAUUAGAAACAUAUCUGGUAUUAUCAAAAACACAUCUAAUUAACGCUUGAAAAGAUGUAUGCUUAACAUGCCUAGACAGAAGUUUCAAAGGUUUACACAGUUGACGUCACUUAGUGCUUUCAUUUGAUUCAAGUAGACACACAACAAGCAGUUACCAUAAAUUACCAUACAGAUUAGAAAGGAAAUUGUAAGUUUCGGCCAACGAAGAAGGUAACAUAUCAGUGUAUGUGAUGUGAGCAAGCAUGCGUGUGACGAUCAUAUUAUUCUGCGUUGCUGGACCGCUACUGCAGUUCUUUCUCAAGUUCAUCGAAUUCCCAUCCAUCAACCUCAUCUGCGGAGUAAUCACGAGCCACCUUACCAAAUUCAGAUUCAAGCUCGGCUAGCUCGGCUUCAGGGUUAAAUUCCCGACUGGAACCAGCACUAGUAGCCGGUGCCUCGACAGGAUUGCUCAACUCUGGCUUUUGGGUCAGUGAAGUAGUUUCGGUUGGAGCAUCCAAGCUACUUCUGGGGUUGGGAGAUUUGGGUGAUGAAGCACUGCUUUUAGGUGAUGGAAUCUCUAUCUCUAACGUUGGCCUCGCUAUGGAUUCAAAUUCCUGCCUCAUUUUCUCCAUGUCAUCAAACAGCUCUUUCACGCGCCGGUCGUCCUUUCUGGUAUAAUUGUACGAGUUCAGAACUUAGUUGUAUAGUAAAACACUACCGAAUAAUAACAGGUCGGAGAGUAAUAAUUUCACUCACUUUUCCAGUUUGUUCUGGAGAACCUGGAAAUGCUCUUUCAUGUUAUCCACAAUGCUGAAGGUGGUAAUGAUCUUUUUUUCUCAUAAAAUAAAACCAGAUCAGUGACGAGGAAGAGCAACCGGAAAAGAGAAAGAUAAAAAAAAAAAAAGGAAGAACCAAUGUAUAUUUGGUUGCCAUUAAUUGGGUCUCAAUGGAAAAAUCAAUCGUGACCUACUAAGCAGUGAUUCUUACCUUAGUCUCAUAAUCUAGAUACUCCUGCUCCAGACUUUUCCUCGGGUUUGAAACCUGAAUGUCCCCCUGAUCUGCAUUUGGUGGCUUCUCCGACCUGUCACCACCACAUACGAAAACUGUCACCACUAUUACUAGGAGCAAUUCAACUCCAACUAGAGGAAUUAGCAAGAAACCAAGCAAUCUUAGUAGCAAUCUAAUUCAUAGAGAGGCAUUUACCCAGGGCCCAGAUUCUUCAGAUUUUCCACAUAAUUUUCUAUACGACUUAUUAAAGGUGCCACCUCCUUCUGUACAGUAUGAUUUUUUGUGUUAGCUCUGUCAUUUAUCAAUUAUUAGUUUAAAACUUCCGUAAAAUACAAAUGUUACCUUGUAAGUAGAGAGUAUACUAAAAGCGACAUCCGAGAAGUAAUCCUCAUGCUUCUCCAAUUCGUCCCUAAGACAUACAUCCCACUGGAUUAUUCAUUUUCGUUGUACAACAAAGCAAAAUAUAUAUGGCGAGAAACAGCGGAGUUGUUAGAUAUACAAAGUCUGCUUAUCCUUCGUUUCUGUAUAUGAGCUUUGAAGAAGCCAUGUGUCCUCAAGAAAAUUAACCCAUGUCUUGAUAACUUCUGCCUCUUUCUUACAGGCUACAACUGAUUUGGACAGGUCAUCCUCCUGCAUUAAGAAGCAACAAAAGCAACUUAUUUCACGUGGAUACUAAAGACAUGAGAGCUCCUCGUCUAAAGAUAACGCCACCUUUGUUUUCAGGUGAGCGAUUAUCUGAUUGUUAGCUUCACCAAAUUGAUCCCUCUCCUCCGUCGCAUUAUGAAGCCGAGCUUGAGCAGCAGCUAGUGAUAUAUUAACCUACAUGGAAGAAUGUUUAUUGACAACACCUUCCAUAUCACAAUAAUCACACGGAGAAGCCAAAAAAAAAAAAAGUGCUUCACAGAAUCAAUCAAAUUUACUUCACAACAACAUGACAAGCUUACGUUUGUAUUUUUUUUUUUUUUUUGGCAAGCGUACGUUUGUAUAUGCGACAAAAUUUCAUCUGUUUAAGUGUGUGUAUAUAAAGCACCAGGAUAAAGCAGGAAACCAUAUAUAGAUAACGCAGGUUAAAUUACCCUCUUCAGCUCCGCUUCCAGCUCAUCUCUUUGUUUCUCAAGUUGUGCAAUUUCCGCACCCAAUUCCUGUACAUAAUAAAUAUUAGGAAAGAACCUCAAUACUGGCAGCUGAUGAACCAGGCGAAGAAUGCUGCCGUUAUUAGUGUGUUUUUUUUUUUUUGGCGUUGAAUAAACCAAAAGAACAAAUAAAAAGGGAAUAAAAAGACCUUUUCUUUUUCACCGGUUUCAUUUGCUUUCACCACACGAGCUUUUAGUGCUUCUUCUUUCUGAAGUCUGCAAAAAGAAAAUUGGACAAUUAGUAUCCAUUGAUAGUCUUUUUCCUUCAACUGACUAAUCAUCCGCUCAAUAGGACUAAGAUGCAUCUAAAAACAGCAAGACAGGCUUUGAUGAAAAUUAAAGUUGACUUGAUGGUCCCAUCGUUCAAAUUUGAUACGCAUAUAGAAGGAAAACGUUUUAAGGUUGUGCAUAAAAUAGCAAGGAAUGAACUGCGCAUAGUCUCAGCAGUAUUUGCUGAACAUGAUACAGAAGUGUACAAAUCUUACUAUCAAUCUGAUCUUGGGAAUUUACCAUGUCAUACCAAAAUUGAACAAAAAACGUCUUCACUGCAGAUAUAACUAAGUGGAGUUGAUGAUAAGCUUAACCUGUUCUCGGUUAUUCGUUUCUCGGCUUUGGAACUUGAAUUUGCUAAAGAUUCCAAUAACACCUUGAGCUUGUCGACCUGGUUCAAAAACAAAUGAUCCGUUAUCUUCUAUCAGUAACAUUCUCCCUAUGGAAGUCUCGAAACGUAUAUGGUGUCAUGGAAUACAGGAAACUCUUAAUUCUCCGUAUCAGCACUAGCAAGUACAACAAGAUGGUAUCAACAAUACAAAUCACCUUGUAUGGUGAUUAUGAUUGAGAAUAAUAAAGUUCACAAACUAACUUUCUGAGCAUGUAUAUCUGGUGAAUCCCCGUUGCUUAGUUGUCUCUUUCUGAUCAGCAGCUCUUCUAAUCUGGAACAAAGACGAAUCUUUGCAAGUGUUUCUUUGAGAGCCUGCAAAAUGAGAAGUCUCUCACAUGGAGCUACCUAAAUGAGCUUAGGAAGGGAAAAUAUGAUUUUGGAGAUACUGCACGUCACCUCUAUUGUUAGAGGAGUCUCUUUAAGUUCCUUUUCCUCACUCUCCUGUGGAAAUUGAGAUGCGUUCAUCUUUUCGAGUUUUUUUCUAAGAUCAGAAGCUUCAGCAUCAAUUCUGAAAAGACAAACUCAAUCAACAGUGAUUCAAGAUAAGCAAUGCUCUAUGACUAAGUCAUCAUGAAGAGAACGAGGCAAAAGGCACAAUAAUAUCUUCAUUUAUCACCUCAGCAUUUCAGCACUAAUCUUCAACCCUGUGAUAGCAUUUUGCGCAAACUGAAGCAAUUCGUCCUGCUUAACCUGUACAAGAGAAACAAAAGCAACAUAGAAGUGUAAACAAGUAAUGAGGAAAUCCCAACGCACAUACAUUAAGAUAACCGCUGAUUUUUUUUUGCUCAAGCGCAUACCAAUACUUCAUCCUUGUAACUCGAAAAGACUGUAGCAAGAUCCUGCAUACUGCUGACUAUGGCAUCAUGAACUUCCUUUCCUCCAUUCAGACAAAGCCUGAAAACAAUAUUAAGCUCUACAAAUAGUCCCAUUUGGUAUGAAUAUAGCAAUGAAUUGUGUCAGGUUUUUCCAAGAAAUUUUUUUUAAGACUCUUUUUGGAAGCCAAAUAUUGGCAAGGCAACUCACCCAAACAUCUCCAGGAGUAGAGUAAUUUCUUCGUCAUGCGGUGGUUCAAUAAUCUGUAAUAGAACAGUCAAACUUAGAGAUAACCCCCAUAGAUGUUACCAUAUUUUAUAUAGACCAAAAACAUAGGUAUAGCAAAACAUUCCGAGAAAACGAUAAAUGACAGGCUCUCACAACAUAUAAGAGUCUACUUAGUUAGGUUUGUUCUUUACUUUUUCAGCGAAGCUAAUAUUAUCUUUACAUUUCAGUUAUCUCGAAUUAACACUAAGGAAUUAAUCAAAGAUGAUGCAUGUCAAACUUUCCAAACAUAGACUUUAGAGAAAAGGGGACUGUUUGUAUCACUCAUCAGAUAGCCAUCAAGUUUAGGUUGCGAAGGAAUACCAUGGACAGAACGAUGCCCUCCAGAGCUUGACUUUGCAGAAAAACAUCACGAAAGUUUAGUGGCGCACCUCCUAUAUCUGGAUCGUAAUACAAAACCUACACAUGGAAAGGGAUAUUCUGAAAGUUUUCUCUUGGAAAGGUCAUAAAUCCGCAUAUGAAACUAGAAGCAGGAUAUUACUAAGAAAGUCACUGUUAAUCAAACCAUGUAACAGAAAUAUUUAGCCUAAAUUAAUAAGGAUAACAAUGAUAACUACUAAGUAAUAUUCUAGAUAUUGUAAAAUGCACGAUGGCAGGAUGAUAUGAUGGCAUCUUCAUAGGCUUAUUUCUCUUCCUCUUUGAAAAAAACAAUUCAGGAACAUAUAAGAUUCUUAACCCAAGUAGUAUCCUUGAUAUUUAACGAUAUGCAGUAGAAGUGUUGACUUCUUCCUUUCCUCUUAUAUGAAAAAAUGGGGAACAGAAACAAUACCCAUUCACGUUUCUUUGCUUCAUCAGAAGCAAGUAGUUCCUCUGAACUCAUUUGUUUAUCCUUGACGGGACUUCCACUAGCUCUAUCGAUCUCCUUAAGCACAGAUAGCCAUCUGGUAAGCAGCAGUGCUCUUUCAUGACCCCUGUAUGAGACUGCAGCUUCUUCCAAUCUCUGAAUCGUCUGACUAACACUCUUAUAAGCACCAACACCCUGCAAAGUUGCAGCCCGCAUUAUUCAUGCAAGUCUUGAAGUAAUGCAACUGUAAUGUCAUUAUUCCAACUGCUCAAGUGAGUAAGAUAUAUUGGCUUUGAAAGAAACGAACAUUUUAUGGUGCAAAAAAUGCUGAAAUGUCACAGUAGGACUCAAAGUAAAUUCUUAUAGCAGCAGGAAUCAAAACUAGAAUCUAGACAAAAGAAGACCUAAAUACCAAUUAAAAAGGGGAAUAAUUAGAAGCAAAGGAGAAAUUACAAUGCGGUCUUGGAACAAUUUGGCUCCUUCAGCGACGGCUUGGCCAGCCUGCUGGACGACGGAGUCGGCAUAGUUCCUGACGGUUCGUGUGAUAUUUUUCCGGUUACCGACCUCCACCGCCUUACUCACGGCCGUUCGCAGCCACGACAUAUUCUCGUCGAUCUUUCUGGUCUCCACUACGGAAGAAAUCUCCUCGGGAAGAAAAAACCGAUUUCAGAGAGACUAAUUACCGAAAAUGAAAAGAACUCGGGCACGGUCAAUGUGUUUUACUCGGUGAACGAUCGACUAAAAAUAUUAUUUUUUUACUUUUCUCUCUGAAAAUUGGGUUAGGAUAUCCAAAAAUGCAUCCGGUAGAAACUUGGAUCGGAUCUCGGAUCGGAUCUCCAUUAGAGCGAUAAGGCCAAAUCAGAAGCCGAAAAGGGCCCCACAUUUACACACAAAAUACCCUCAGAUUCUCCAUUUCUCCGGGGCGAUCAGAUUUCACCGACGACGACGACGACGACGAAGGCUUAGUAGCCUUCUCUUUCAAUAGAAUUAACAAAAAGCUUAGAGCGUCAGGUAUAUUAUAGGCAGUAGAUAGAUAGAUAGAUAGAGAGAGAGUGCUCCUUUUCUCAUCUAGUAUUAGGGUUUUAACCAGGAGAGAAUAACCACUACUACACAAGAGAGGUGAAAAAAUGUCGGGUCUCCACCGAUCAUCUAGUUCAUCAAAGAAUAUAGGAAACUGCCUCCCCUCGAAGGAACUUCUUGACGAUCUUUGCAGGUAUUUUUGUCAAUCGAGUGAUUUUUUUUUUUGUUUUUCCCGUAAUAAGUGAAGCGAUGAGCUCGAAUUUGAUUACGUCGGUAACUGAUUUUUGGUGAUGGGGUUUCCGGAAUGGCUUUGGUUUCAGUCGAUUUGUUUUGAAUGUCCCUGAAGAAGAUCAACAGUCAUUCGAGAGAAUUUUGUUUCUGGUGGAGUAUGCUUAUUGGUACUAUGAAGAUAAUGCUGUAGAAAAUGAUCCAACGCUUAAGUCGCUUUCCUUGAAGGAGUUUACUUCUCUCUGUAUCCUUUCUCAUUAUGUAAUUCAUAUGUUUGGAGCAUGAUGUCGAAAUAAGCUGAUUUGUGUUCAAACUGGCUUCUUUUUCUCUUCAGUUGUUUGUUAACCUUUCCCAUUUUUCUCUGUGGAUUUUUUUUUUCCCUUGACGUGAGCUAAGUAUUUAACAGCUGUGAUGUGUUGAGACCUUAUGUUGCUAACAUUGAUGACAUUUUUAAAGACUUCACUUCUUACAAGUGUCGAGUUCCGGUCACUGGGGCAAUCAUCCUGGAUGAAACAUAUGAACGGGUUAGACCCCUUGGGUGAUAUUUACGAGUUUCAGUUUUUUUUUUUUUAAUUACUAGCAUUUAUGUUUACUUGUUAGUUCAUGUUUACACCUUUUUCGUUUUUCUUGGAAUUUUUAGUGUUUGUUGGUGAAGGGAUGGAAAGGGUCAAGUUGGAGCUUUCCCCGAGGGAAGAAGAGUAAGGAUGAAGAAGACUAUGCUUGUGCUAUACGUGAGGUUAGUAUCGAUCUUAUUGUUUUCCUGUCUCUUGUGUGGUUCAUUUGUUUUGUUCUUUUGUGGCACAUUUGAUAGCUCCAACAAUAGCCACUCAUUUAUCAUAAGUGCAUACUAAAAAUGAAUACUACGUUAUUAGAAUAAUAGCGCUUAUUGGGUAAGAUUAGAUCCAUUCUGUCGUCGUUGUAUCUUAUGAGUUAGGCUGUCACAUAUAAACCUCAAGUAGUGUGUUGGUUCUACUUUAUUGGCUGUUGACAGUUGUCGAUGUGUCAACAUUUAUGUGCGCAUGAAAGAGUAGAAUAGAGAACUUCUCUUAUAUAUUCUGCUCUGGACUACAGGGCAGUUUUCAUACGAAUUUAUCAAUUUGAUUAUGGCACAUGCUCCUUACGUACUCAAAUUUGAGCAAGGAAAUGUUGUUCUUAGGUCACCAUUAUACAGGAUCUUUUGCAAAUGGGAAUAGCUUCUGCUGUCAAUGGUCUACUAUAAAGGUUCUCUGGUCCUUUUGUACUAUUUCAUUCGUAUAGAAAUGGUCAAAGCCGAAGAGGUUUACGUGUAGCUCUCACUGCUAUUCUACUUGCAGCAGUUUAGGUGUAAUUGUCUUGCUGAUUGUUUGUAUAAACUUGGAUUAUGGGUUAAGGAUAAAAAAGCUGAAUGUUUUGUCACACUUGGUUGGCCGUAUUAUGUACUGACAUUUUUUGGUUUUCAUUCUUCUGUACUGUUCUUUUAUGCUAAACAUAGGUCUUAGAGGAAACUGGAUUUGAUAUCUCAAAGCUACUCAAGAAAGAAGAAUAUAUUGAGUUUACAUUCAGGCAGCAAAGAGUGCGACUUUACAUAGUUGCUGGGGUGACUGAUGAUACAGCUUUUGCACCACAAACAAAGAAGGAAAUCAGUGUAUGUGUUUAACAAUCAACCUUGUGGGUGUGGUCUUGUCUGCAUAUGUAUGAUGAGUCUCUUACGUUAAGUUGUUGUGGAAUACUUGCAGGAAAUUGCAUGGCAUCGGCUUGAUCAUCUUCAGCCAGCAAGUAAUGAGGUGAUAACUCAUGGAGUUGCUGGUCUCAAGUUGUAUAUGGUGGCACCUUUUCUUGCGUGAGUAGUGCCUUUCUAUUUGCCCACAUAGAUUCUUGGGUAAAUUUUUAUUUUUGGUGCAUAGCAUUAUAGAUAUCAAACAUCUGCAGAUCAUUGAAGUCGUGGAUAUCAAAGCAUCCGGCGCCUGUAGCACGGAGACCUGACAAGCCCCUUAAAGGUUUGACAUCUUCUAUCUCAGCAAGCAUUCAUAAAAAAGAGGGCUUUUUGGCAGAGAUCUAAUUCAUAUGAUUUGUAUAGCACUCUGCGUGUGGAAUGCAAGGGCUAGUGGUGGAGGAAACUGGACAGCACCAGCAGCAACACCAAUAGCAACAACAACAGCAACAACAGAAAGCUCCAAAAAAAAGCAUGAACCCGACCAUCCUCAGGACUCAAAACCUGUAAACAGUCUAAGAGGCUUCAAGUUCAACACGUCAGCAAUCUUUCAGUCCCUGUGAAAUUUAGUUUUCUCAGCUUAACUAGUCAGUCAUGUAUUAUGGGUGGGGAGCUAUAAUGCAAUAGCACUGGUGGGUUUGUGUAUAGCAAAACCGUUGGAUAUGUUAAUACGCUCGUACCUUUUUGAUUUGUUCGCUAUUUGGUUUAUGCCUCUCGUUUCUUUUAGAAAUAAAAGAUUGUUGUACAUGAUGGUUCCAUUUAAAAUGAAUUUGUCUACCAAAAAAAAAUCAAUUAGUAUUUACCUAAUUAAGUUAAAGAUUGUUAAACUAUAUAAAUAUCCUAAUGAUUGUAAAGGAUAUUUCUGAAAUUGUUUCAUCUCUUCACAUAGUAACUUAAAGUUUUUGGUUUAAGGGUGGGUGAAGGAAUGGUGACCUAAAUUCGGCAAGGGUUGGCUAAAAAAUAUAGUUGAAUGCUACACGAAAACAUCUUAAAGGAACAGAAUCGGACAUGUGGCAAAUUGUGUUAUACAAUUUAACUUGUUGAGUUUAGGUUUGGGGGGUUCAUCUACACCAGCGUCACCAUUGUGACUUUGAGACUUUUCUUCUUCUAAUCUCUUCUUAAGAAAAAGUAUUCAUCAAACUAAUCUUAAAUAAUACCAAAGCAUAUUAAACGGCCCAACCACAUUCUCUUGAUACAUUUUUUUAUCUAUAAAUAGAAAUAGAAAUUAAAUCGUUGGUAAAACCCAUACACACAAACGUUUCUUUCCUCUUUCUCCUCCUCCUGCCAACGGUAUCAGUUUUGACGCCGUUAGUUCUUUCCGUUUAUUGAUUUUCCCGCUUCAUCACACAAACCCAAAGCAUGUCCCGCGUGGUUGCAGCAGACGACAAUAUGUCGCUGCCGUUCUUCUCGCCGGAGCCUAACCAUCUCUCCAGCUACUCAGGCACGUCUUCUCCAACUUUCGCACAGCUCUUGAAGAAUGUCGGCGACACGACGACCGUUCUAACCGGUGGCCACCAUCAGCAUCACGUUGAUGUGGAUCUUGCCUCGCCGGACCGAUCCGUACCGUUCGUUCUCUCGUUCACUGAUCUCACCUACAGCGUGAAAGUUCGCCGGAAGUUCGCGUGGAGACGCGUCCCUUCAGAUCCCAUCGUCGGAGCUCCGUCGGACGGACUCUUCUCUUCCAAGACGAAGACGCUCCUCAACGGAAUCUCCGGCGAGGCUAGAGACGGAGAGAUACUGGCUGUGCUCGGUGCGAGUGGCUCCGGGAAAUCGACGCUGAUCGAUGCACUAGCCAAUCGAAUCGCCAAAGGAAGCUUGAAAGGAAACGUAACACUAAACGGCGAAGUCCUCAAUUCGAAAAUGCAAAAAGCGAUCUCAGCUUAUGUGAUGCAGGACGAUCUUCUCUUCCCGAUGCUCACAGUCGAAGAAACCCUAAUGUUCGCCGCCGAGUUUCGUCUCCCGCGAAGCCUUUCGAAAUCAAAGAAGAAUCUCCGCGUCCAAGCCUUGAUUGACCAAUUAGGACUUAGAAACGCGGCCAAAACGAUAAUCGGAGACGAAGGCCACCGCGGAAUCUCCGGAGGAGAGCGACGGCGAGUAUCAAUCGGAAUCGAUAUCAUCCACGACCCGAUUCUGCUUUUCCUCGACGAACCAACAUCGGGUCUUGACUCGACAAGCGCACUCAGUGUCAUUAAAGUUCUCAAACGAAUCGCACAGAGCGGAAGCAUGGUGAUUAUGACUCUUCACCAACCAAGUUACCGUCUUCUCCGAUUGCUCGACCGUCUUCUCUUCUUGUCACGUGGCCAAACCGUCUUCAGCGGAUCACCCGCGAUGCUACCGAGCUUCUUCGCCGAGUUUGGCCACCCGAUUCCCGAACACGAGAAUCGCACCGAGUUUGCGUUAGAUUUGAUUCGAGAGCUAGAAGGAUCCGCUGGUGGAACGAGAAGUUUAGUUGAGUUCAACAAAGGUUUUAGACAGAGGAAAGCAGAGCCAAGAACUCAAACCGGCUUGUCCCUUAAAGAAGCAAUCAGCGCAAGCAUUUCCAAAGGAAAGCUUGUCUCCGGAGCAACGACUACUACUACUCCUGGCUCUGGCUCGAACCCUGUUUCCACCAUUCCAACAUUCGCAAACCCGUUUUGGGUCGAGCUUGCGGUUCUAGCCAAACGGUCCAUGACUAAUUAUCGGAGACAGCCUGAAUUGUUCGGGAUACGUCUAGGAGCUGUUUUAGUCACUGGAUUCAUCUUAGCCACCAUGUUUUGGCAGCUAGAUAACUCCCCCAAAGGAGUUCAAGAACGUCUCGGAUUCUUCGCCUUUGCAAUGUCCACAACGUUCUACACCUGCGCAGACGCUCUACCCGUUUUCCUCCAAGAACGAUUCAUAUUCAUGAGAGAAACCGCUUACAACGCUUACCGUAGAUCCUCCUAUGUGCUAUCUCACUCUCUCGUUGCACUUCCUUCCUUGAUCAUCCUCUCGCUUGCUUUCGCAGCAACUACGUUCUGGGGCGUGGGAUUAGAUGGAGGCCUCAUGGGCUUCCUCUUCUACUUCCUAAUAGUCUUAGCCGCUUUCUGGGCAGGAAGCUCAUUCGUCACCUUCUUAUCAGGCGUUGUCCCACAUGUAAUGCUCGGUUACACCAUUGUGGUAGCCAUCUUAGCCUAUUUCUUGCUUUUCAGUGGAUUCUUCAUCAACCGAGAUCGAAUCCCUUCCUACUGGAUCUGGUUUCAUUACAUCUCCUUGGUCAAGUACCCUUACGAAGCUGUUCUCAUAAACGAGUUCAGCGACCCGACAAAGUGUUUCGUCAGAGGAGUUCAGAUAUUCGACAACACACCUCUUGUUGCCGUGCCUCAGGGGAUGAAAGUUAGGCUUCUGGCAACCAUGAGCAAAUCACUUGGGAUGAGAAUCACAAGCUCCACUUGCUUGACAACAGGAUACGACAUUUUGCAGCAGCAAGGAGUUACGGAUCUCAGCAAAUGGAAUUGCUUGUGGGUCACUGUCGCUUGGGGUUUCUUCUUUCGAAUCUUGUUCUACUUUUCUUUGCUUUUGGGCAGCAAGAACAAGAGGAGGUAAAAAUAAAACUCAGUUUGAUCUCAAGGUGGUGGACUGAUUUCAAACUUUGGACUACUUUUCUUUGUAUCCUGUAUUUUUUUCAUUUUGAUUCUUUGUUGUAUAUCUUUAAUUAUUUUGCUGGACAAAUUGUUGAACUGAAGGUCAACUACUUGAUAAUUACUUAAAUUAUGUAUUGAGGAAUUAUGAACAGUAGCAUACUUUGAUGUUUUGUUUAAAGGGAAACUAAUUGAUGGGUAAGACACGAAAAGUUAUUUGCAAAGUAACCAUGAGAGUAUUCUAGCUGCCAAUCGCAUACUUUUUUUUCCUUGCGUCCCUGUUUCUCAGAUUUGAGUAUUUGACCUAAAAGAGUAAAGACUGAAUAACACAUCAAAAACUUGGAGAACCUUUUAUCUUGUGGAUGAGAUGUGUACAGAAUAUUUGGCAUCUUUGGUUUGAUAAACACAGACAUAAGAUUUAUUGGUCAGAUUUGUAUACCAUGCCUACACUGGAGAAGCUACUACAUCAAAACAGUUAUAUUCCUUUCCCUACGGUGAGAUGUACCUUCGAAGUUGGAACUCACUUGCAAUAUGAUAAAGGAGAAGGAGCCAUUAACCAAACCAAUAGGUCCAACUGGUUGGUGCAACUUUGGCUGUUUCCACUGUUUUUUGCCAUGGCCGGUAUACCCAGUUCUACCAACAGAUAAUCAGCGGCUGUUUCAACAUUUCAAGCAAGCUUGGUGUAGCUAAUACUUCAAGUUCCACAAAAAUGUGUACUCGUUCCAUCUUGGGCGUACCUAAAGCUAAAUUGAUGACAUCAUGUUGGAAGAAUUCAUCAACUGGUUAUUCGCAGAUGAAAGUGAAUGUUCUAAGCCAAAAACAGUCAUGGCUCAACCAUACAGUGGGGGUUGUUAGGCAGGCCCAAUUUCGAGUAGAGCAAAGAGACUCAUUCAUCAAACCUUUCUCCAGUCUAAAUAGUUGUAUCGGGCGAAAAGUCUGGCCUGUAGCCGGUAUUUUAAUGAGCUUCCUGUCUUAGAAGGUUCACGCAUAUUAUGUAUUACUAACCUUUCUCUACACCCCGUCACCGCCAAGCUCUUCUCGUUGCCAUAUUUCACUGAGCUUCGAAGUUUCCUCCUCUUCCAUAUUCUUAGUACUUCCAGAUGCAUUCUCAGUUGAGUUAUUUUUUCCAUCAAUUUCCAUUUCUACUAAUUCAAUAUCAGGGUCCUGUCCAAAUCUCACAGCAUCAGGGCCAUUCUCUACAUUAGUAGGUGCACAACCAUCAUUGUCAAAAGAUGGUCUAAAAGAGCUGGUACCAUCAUGUCUAUAACCAAACUGUCUCCUCUCAGCAUUAACAUCAACACCAAAUCGUUCAGAAUGAAUUCGUCCUUCAAAUAAGUCAUCACUGUAGUCGACCCUUUCUCGAGGAUCCAAGCUGUUUAAGUUUCCAUGGUUUCUAUGUACAAGACGGUCAGAUGGUUUCCUAAAAGAGAAGCUAUCUCUUCCAUAACCUCUGCCUCUUGCAUAACCUCUGCCCCUUGCAUAACCCCGGCCCCUUCCAGCAUUUGAUGGUCUAUGCGAGUAAGGUGGAGAAUUGUGCCUCCUGACACCCAUUUCCCUAGGAUAACUAGAUUGGUCAGGCGAGCUUAUCCUCCCCAUUCUGUAACCUGAGGGUGAUCUCCGAUGAGAAAAGUCUGUAUUCCCACUGUACUCUUCCUCUGAUCUGUUCCUGAAAGACGAGGAUGGACCAGAUGAUCGUUCUCUUGAUCUGAUCGGUGAUCGAGAACGAAAUCCAGGAAAACCUCGUUUGGGGUUGUUUGAAAAAUUUGCUCGUCCUCGAGCAAAUCCAUUCCGACCUUGAUACGGACGUUGCUGACUCAUAAACGUUGGCUCCGUGUUGUUGGAUUGUAAUCCCCUCGUGAAUUUUUCACCAUCUCUAAAUCCGUGAAAUGCAGCAGAUGGAUCCUCUUUAUUUGUUGAUCCUCUUUGAGUAAAUGAAAAGCUAGGGGCUCUUCUCGUAAAGGAGUGGGAAAAAGGGGCUACUUCAUCAUUUGCAGGCCGUCUCCCUCUAUGAAAAUUACUCAUAAAAGCCCCACCCCGACGAGUGUUUCCAUGAUUGUCGAACUCAAAAUCUGCAUUCAUAAGAUGAGGGUCAUAUUGAAUUUUAGAAACAAUGAGCUACAUUCUUCCAUCGAAAAAUUUGAUAGGAAUUUACUUUUUGUAUCCCGGUCAUGCAGAUUGCUUUCUGUUCUAUCAGAAAAUCUCCUUUUGUCAGGCAUGAAAUUUAGCCUUGAGCUUCUCAUAAUUUUGCCAUGGUACCUCUCACGCGAGAAUUUGCAGGAUUCGUCACUAGCAAAAGAAACAUUAAUGGAAAAUUUCAAGGAAAUCCAUAAAGAUCUCAAAAAGGAAUGAAGCAAGGAAAGGAUAGAGAUAGUAAAAAAGGAGGGCUAAGAAAUAUCACCUCCCUCUGAAGAGAUAUUUCCGUGGUUCAUGUGGGAAAUCAGGCAAUCUAUCUCUUUCCAUACGCAAUGGCACAAAACUGUCUGAGGCAUCUGGUGUCUUAAUUGGAGAUUUAUUACAAGCCUGAGCUUGGUUUAUAACUCGACUUUGACUACCUUCACUGAACUCCUCAAGAGGAUCAUUGUCAAUAGUAGAAAUUUCUGCCUUGUAUGAAACUGGACUGCUGUUAUAUACUAUUUCAGGGUUUUCAACGUUCCCGCCUAACACUGUAGACACACCUGACACUCCUUCACUUGCAUGAAUUAUUUGAUGGGUUGAUUGUUCACCAUCCUGAACUAUCUGGCCUUCACUUUCCCUCGGAAUUUCUGGAGUAAGCCUCUUAAUCUGAACCUCAGUGCUUGCCAUUUCGCCUAAUUUCAAACAUCACUCAUCAACAGUUUAUUUCUUAAAUUUAUUAGUAGAUGAUGAGCAGAGCAUUCUUUAACAUGUUUCUUACCUGUGUUACCAAGAAGUGCAGGUUGACUCUCUUUUUCUUCCACAUAGUUUUCCACAUGGUUAGAAUUUUGAAAGCCACUAUGAACAAUACCGGCAGCUGGUCUUAGGACAUUCCCGUCAUUGUACAAAUUUCUUUUUCCAACUUGCUUCUUUAGUACUCUAGAUGGAUCAUAACCACAACCUGAUUCGUACCUGUAAUUGUAUAACUCUUCCCCUAGCUGCUUACCAGAUAAAAUAACCUUUUCUUCAUUACUUAUAGAAUGUUCACCAGUUCCACGAGAAUUACCAGGGAGUUCUUUCGAUAUAUGGGUCUUGCAAUCAUCUAAAAUUAUCUCUUCAGCCAAAGAAACAUUCACACCUGAUGCAUCGAGAUUAUGAUCUCCAUGACCAGAGCAUGGAUAAUUCAUGUGAACUACACCAUGUUUCAGCGCUUCGCAUGGUUUUUCAAUAGCUGCACUGCUACUCUGGCCUGAUUUCACAUUUAACGUAUUGUCAAGAUAACUCUUGACGCCUGGAUUUCUUGUCAGUUCAUCCAAGGACAUUGGCACAUUGCUGAAGCCACUAGGAUAGGGAAUAUAUUUAUCCUUCUGAUUUGGCGUCGAACUUGUAGGUAAAUCAAGGAUCUGAUUUGAUUGCACUAUUGCUGUAUGGGGAUGAUUCAUCGUCCCAUCUUGCCUAGUAAAAACUUCAGACUGAGUGAAGUUACUUGGCUCAGCCUUUAUUGAUAUAGGAUCCACUGGGUUCAAACUGCCAGAUGAUGAACUAUUUUCUUGUCUGAAUCUGCCAACAACCUCUUGUUUCACCCUUUUAAUAGAUAGCCCGAUUGGACAAACCUGAGCACUCUCUUCAAUGACUUCUGACUUUACAGUCCUAAGAUUUACCGAGUUCACAUUACCAGCAGCCAUUAUUGGUCUGGAAAAAGUUGUACUAGCAGCUCUUGCCUCCGAUGUGGUAGCUGAUAGAGAAGGGGAUUUUUCAAUAGGAGGAUAUGAACUAAGGCCUAGACUAAGUGAACAUGUGGGAUUAACCUGAUGGUCAAACUGCGUCAAAGUCACCGUAGGAGAUUUAAAUCCUACUCUUUCCUUGUGUUUUUCAGAAACAGACUUUGAAAUAACAGUUGUAUCACGACAACUUGAUGUCUCAAUGUCAUGAAGACUUGCGGUACUGUUUAAAUUUGCACCAGUUGUGCUAGCUCUAGUCUUUCGAUCUAGAGCAUCUUCCCAAGCAUCCAUGGUAGUAUUUAAAUCCCAAUUUGAUCUGUUCACACCACUGUGAUGGCCAGAUUUGGUACAAAUGGAAACAGAAUCUGUGCUAUGAGGAGCAUAAACUCCCUUGCUGAACGACAAAUUCAGUGCUGUAGGCUCUUCAUUCUCCCCAUAUGGAGAAUUGGUUUUAGUUGUACAACCUAGCCGCAUGGAAACAGUACCUGCACUAGAAGAUGCUUCUGUUUGACACUCUCCUCUGAGAUUUACCUGGCCACAUGUCUCCCUAACAAUGUCACGGGUUUUACGAAGAGCUUGUUCUACUUUCAAUCCAGAGGUGACAAGUGGACCACGAUGUUCAGCACCCGCAGGAAGCUUUCCCAGAGAAGAAGGGAGUGAAGUGCCAAGUAUGUUAGAAAUGGAAGGGACCUCCAAAGGACUCGAGUGAAAUGGCAAAUUUGGCUCAUCAACUUUCACUCUAACAUGGUCAAGAACUUUGUUCCCAGUGCUCUCUGCUUUACCAGCAUUAACAGACGACAAAGAAGGGAUUAGUCCUCCAAUAAUUUUCCUAGGUCCACCGAUCAUUUUCUGACUUUCAUCAGCAUCAGCUGAAUCCAAAGCACUCCUACCAACACUAGUAUCACCUUGCUCAUUAGGUUGUGGAUUAUUUCCCAAACGUUUUGAGCCUGGUUCUUCCAUUGCCGGCUGCACAAAGUACUUCCUCUUCUUGAUUGGAAUAGCAGCACUGAAAUUGCUGCACCGCCAGGUAGGCAGGCUGAUCCGAGGCUGAUAGAUAUCAACCAGACAGGGAAGCAACAACAAAAAACAUUAAAUCAAUAUGGGAGAGAGAAUUUCUAAAAAUGUUGAAUUGAUUAGUAAUUUGGGUUGGAAUAAACACCUCUUGGUUUCCAGACAUAGCCGUUAGCUCGAAAUAAAUAUCCAACUCCUCAAACUUUUACCUUUUUUCAGGCUGAUUCCACCUAACACCUACAGAUCAAUAUCAAUUAGGUCGUCUAUAAUUAAGAGACCCAAAAGGCAAAAAGAGAAUUCAAAUAGUAUUUCAGAUCAAUGAAACAUAAAUCCCACCACGUAUCUAAACACCAAUUCACGCAACUAACAGUGAAUCCAGACACCACCAAGUCCCUAGAAUGGAAGAACAAUCAACAAACCGGAAGAGAGAACCAAAAAAAAAAAAGUCAACUUUAGAUUACAAAACAGAAGCAGAGAAAAACUCAUCAAAAUAUCCAAAAAAAAAAACUGAUUAUUGAAUCCAUUAAGAGCAAAGAGUAAAAAACAAGAUCGACCCUUUAAAUUUCCGACCGAUGAAGAUGUGAGAUACGUAAGAGGAGAGUAACCAGAGAAUUGGAGGUUAGCAAUCAACCGACAAAAGAAAAAGGAAGAACUGCAAUUUUUAGAGAAAGGGUUGAGAAAAUAAUAGAAACACAAGUAGCAUAGCAGAUUCAGGGAAGAAAGGCAAUAAUAUUUGUGGAGGGAAAGAAGAAUCUACCAAAAAGGGAAGAGUGAUGGCGAGGUCUGUGAGUAGCAGUUUCCAGGAAAGUACAGCUAAUAGGAGCCUAAAGAAAUGGAAAUAUUACGCAAAUGGAAAAAUAGAGAUGCAAAACUUGACUAGAGAGAGAGCCACACAACCCUGCGGCUGCAAACUCUGCCUUUAUAUAAUAAAGGAUAAGCACAGUUUGACCGCUAUUAAAAUUAAAAUUUGGUAUUUACUUGUAUAACCUAACUUUUUCAAAUAAAUACAAAUUUUAUAAGUCUAUUUGUAAAGACUUAUAAAUUUUGUAAUAUAGCUGAGUGGUCGAAAGAAGUUUCAACCCAAUCUAAUCUAAUCUAUGAACUCUAUUGAGUUGGAAAAUUUGGGUCUUAAUGAGUUCAUGGAUCAAAUAGGUUAAUGAAGCUAAUUACAGUAAUUGGGUUAAAGUGAGUUACAGUAUCCUGGAUAACCAAACCAACACAAAUUUAAUAGAUCUAACCAAAAUUCAUUUGAAUUUUAAUGUGUAAACCGAUAUUAGUGAACCGAAUCUUACCUAAUUCAACCAAGGCUCUCUCACGCUCAUCCUCGUCGGCCCAACUCUCAGGCUCAUCUUGUCGAUCCAACUCUCAGGCUCAUCUCAUGGAUCGAAAACCUUAUCUAGUAUGACUGUAACUUUGGCUUCGAUUUGAAGACUGGAAACCAAAUGAUAUGUGAUUAGUAGUCCCAUUUUUUAUUUUGUUGACAAUAUUAUAGUAGUUUGUUUAGUAGUAGCAAUUAUUAACAGCUCAAAUUCCCGGUUACAUGAUCAUAAAACCAAAGUGGUUGGUUACUCAGAACCGGUAUUGCUCGAUUGGUGGUUGUAGUUCCCGCUAAACAAGUGUGGCGGUUGGAACGAAAUCCAAAUAGGGUGGAUUUGCUAUGGGUCUCUAUAAUGGGCCUUAUGAUAAUGAACCGUUUUGACUAAUAUUUUCUUACCAACAUGCAUUUAAGAGAGUAACUAAGUUGACCAGUCAAAAUAUCUUGUGCAUUUAUUGCUGUGGAAUAAUAAGAAAAAAAAUCCAAGAAUUUACCAAAACAAGAGAGAGCCAGAUAUUUUAACAAAAAUAAGUUACAGCGAGGAAUGAAUGAGUGUGAGAGAGAGAAGGAGGCGUUACAGAAAAUAAAGGGAAAACGAAAGUUGCAAAAUUUUAGUGUAAAUUUGUAACAGCAACAACUGGAAAAACUCGUCUGUAUCUUAUCCCUCCACAAGACUCGGACCCACACCGGCUUACUCCGUGAAAGGAAAACAAACAAAAAAAUUAAAAUAAAAUUUCCCAAAUUUCUUAUGUCAAAAGUGUUCAUGGGGUUUCGAUGAGGAGUCAUUUUGCAACUCUUUUAGAUUUGCGGAAAAAACGAAGAGUGAAGUGAAAAAAAAAAAAACAAGAGAAGAUGGCUUGCUUGAAACUGGGUUCUAAAUCUGAUGUCUUUCAUCUAAGUGGUCACACAUGGUCAGUCCUCUUCUUCUUCUUCUUCAAUGAGUUUAACUAAUAUCAAUUUACCAAAACAAAUGUCUCUCAUUUCUUUAUUCUCUAAUCUUAUCAGGCUUUGCUCAACUGGACUUAAACCUGAUGUGAUGAUCCAAGUAGAAGACCAAAGCUUCCAUCUGCAUAAGGUAUAAUAAACCAAACCAAAACCUAUAAUAGUAUUGACUCUCUUUUCUCUUUUGAAUUCUCACUCAUUACCAUCACUUUUCACUUUAAUUUGGCCAUGUGUUUUUCAUCAUCAAGUUUCCGUUGUUGUCAAGAAGUGGAUAUCUCGAAACUCUUUUCAGCAAAGCCUCUGAGACAGCUUGUGUGGCCCAGCUUCACGACAUUCCCGGUGGACCCGAAACGUUCUUGCUCGUGGCCAAGUUCUGUUACGGUGUAAGAAUUGAGGUCACAGCUGAAAACGUUGUCAGUCUCAGAUGUGCAUCAGAGUAUCUCCAAAUGAGUGAAAACUAUGGAGAUGCAAAUCUCAUCUCUCUCUCCGAGAAUUUCCUCAACGAUCACGUUUUCACAAACUGGCAAGAUUCCAUCAAGGCCUUGGAGAGAUGCGAACAGAAACUGCUACCUCUCGCCGAAGAGCUUCACAUUGUCUCUAGGUGCAUUGCUUCUUUAGCCAUCAAGGCUUGUGUUGAAGACACGAGUUUGUUCCAUUGGCCAAUCUCAGUACCAGAAGAAACUACUACUACAACUACAUUCUGGAACGGAAUACAAACUAAGGCCACGAGCGAUAACUGGUGGUUCAACGAUGUGUCAACAUUCCUCGAAUUCCCAAUGUACAAAAGGUUCAUUCAAACCGUUGAAUCCAGAGGCAUGAAAGCAGAUAUAAUAGCAGCAUCUGUCACGCAUUAUGCAAAACGAAACCUUCCUUUACUUGGCUGUUCUAGGCAAUCUGGUUCUUCUACAGAGGAAGGUUCUACUUAUGGUGAUGACAUGCACUACUCACAUGAAGAUCAAAGAAGUCUCCUUGAGGAAAUCGUGGAACUACUACCGAGCCAAAAACGCAUUACAUCGACAAAAUUCUUGCUCAGGCUUCUCAGGACAUCAAUGGUUCUGCACGCAAGUGCAGCCACUCAGGAGAAUCUUGAGAGAAGAAUCGGCGUGCAGCUAGACGAAGCUGCUCUGGAGGAUCUGCUAAUACCAAACAUGGGAUACUCAGCUGAAACACUCUAUGAUAUAGACUCUGUCCAGCGGAUUCUUGAUCACUUCAUGUUGACAUUUGAUUCUUCUUCGAGCUGUUACAACAUUGUUGAUGAUGAGGAGAAGCAAUUGAUGGGAGAUUCUCAUCCUCUUAGACCCCUCACAAAGGUAGCUAGUCUUAUAGAUGGCUACUUAGCAGAGGUGGCUUCCGAUGAGAACUUGAAACUAUCGAAAUUUCAAGCACUUGGUGCUUUAAUCCCUGAAGACGUAAGACCAAUGGAUGAUGGUAUCUACCGCGCAAUUGAUAUAUACAUCAAGGUAAAACAAAAUUUCACCUUUUUAAAAUACGUAUAAUAGUAUCAAAUGAAUCUUUUGAAUAUCUCUAUAUGGAUGUAUAUGAUUUUGGAGAAACAGGCUCAUCCAUGGCUGACAGAGACAGAGAGAGAGCAACUGUGUCUGCUGAUGAAUUGCCAGAAGCUGUCAUUGGAGGCAUGCACACACGCAGCACAAAACGAGCGUCUACCUUUACGAGUCAUAGUUCAAGUCUUGUUCUUUGAACAGAUGCGGCUUCGAACAUCUGUAUCAGGAUGGUUCUUUGUCUCGGACAACAACAACAAUGACGAUCCAAGUUGCAAGAAUCCGGCACUAGAUGAAGGACACAGCAAGAUUAACGCAAACGCAAAUGUGAUGAUGAAUGGGAUGAGGGAACGUGUUUACGAGCUUGAAAGAGAAUGUAUGAGCAUGAAGCAAGAUCUUGACAAGCUUGUCAAGACUAAAGAAGGACGCAACUUCUUCUCAAAGAUAUUUGGAUUGAGGUUUAAGACUAAGACUUCACCAUGCGGUGGCAGCGGCAAAGGAGGAGACGAAGACGGUCUAAUGAUUCGUGAAACCAAAAACUGAUAGAGAAGAGCAAUAAUAACUAAUAACAAGAGUUAUAUGGCCUAUAAGACCACUUUUGUUCCUUUAUGUUCUUGGAAUUUAUAUGUUUGGACUCUUCUAAGUCCUUGUCUCGUUGAUCAGUUGACAAUUAAGGACAUUUUGAAACCACAGGAUCUCGAUAGCAAUCACUUAUAUUCUUUCAAUGCAUAUUGAUUAACAAGACGUAGACGGUAGAUCCAAGGAUUUCUAAAAUAUAUUUAUAAUAUGUAUAAUGUACUUAUAAGCUCUCUGUCGUUUUCAAUCUUCUCGUAUAAGCUCUCUGUCGUUUUCAAUCUUCUCGUAUAAGCUCUCUGUCGUUUAUAUUCGUUUAAACAGCACGUGGUUAGUCUAUUAGAUGAAUAAACGGCACGCGUUUAGAUCAUAACUGAAACAAGUAUAUAGUCAUUCUGUGAUUCCACUCGAGGGAAGCAGAGAGGGAGCGAGGCCGUCUUGUUCAUCUUCAAUCUUCGUCUUUCUCUGUGAAUCAAAAUGAUUCGAAGCGUUGACGUCUACGUUAAAACCCUAGGCCCUUCCGUCCGUACUGUUCUCUUUUCGAUCUUUACCUCUAAGCAGAAACCGCCGUCGCUUUCGCUUCCAUUGCAGUUCUCGUCGCGGUCGUCGCCACAUACUUUCUCUCGUUGUUUCUCCAAUUUCCUAGCUGUCUCAAAUUCUCCGGUUCACGGUUUUCGCGGGAGCCGAAACUUCGGAUCUCUCUUCACUGUGAGGGCUUUUUCUUCGUCGCCCGCCGCUUCGAUUCAGCCGCAGCCGCAGCAGCAUCAGAAUCAGCACCCAGGGGAGUCUGGUGAAACGGUCCCGUAUGUGGAGGUUGGUGAUGGGAAUUCUGGUGGCUUAGAGGAGGAAACCAAGCUCUCUCUUCCUGUACGAGCUUAUUUCUUCUCCACUAGGUAUGUUUUUUCCCCUUUUCCAAAAUGUUCUUUAAAGGUUUAUGCCAUUCUGGUGGGAAUCAGGAUCGGUUUCGGCAUAUGAUAGCUAACCUGCCAUUGAUGAUGAGUGAAUUUCAUAGUUGAACAAUUGAAACCUUAGUAUCACGUUGGAGCUUAAACCUGGAUGUAUUUGCAAAUGGGUUUUAGAAAUUUGAUGGUGUGAUGAUUGAAUUAUUUUGUGGAUGUGAUUGUGUGCAGCGUUGAUUUGAGAAGCUUAGUUGAGCAAAACAAGCAGAACUUCAUCCCACCCACGUCGCGUAUGACUAACUACGUUGUUCUCAAGUUCGGCAAUCAUUCUGAUCCCACUGUAAGUUGAAUCUUACUUUAUUCAGAUUAUGGAGCUGAGGUACUAGGGUUUACAUCAUAUUGGCUGAUCAAACAAAUGGCUGGAAAAUGGUACCCUUAUAGUGAUUGUUGAUUGUUCUAUGGAUUGGUGUCUAAUUUUUCAGUCUUAAUGCUAUUUUGGGGCUAUCUAUCUUUAGAUUGGGUGAUUGAUUUUACUACUUAUCAUAAGAAAUGUUGAUGUUGUUUCAGGGUACUGGUGGUUGCAUAAGUGGGAGUGAGUGCAUUUACAUGGUAGUAUUCCAGUAUGGAUCGAUUGUGUUAUUUAAUGUACGGGAACACGAGGUUGACGAGUAUCUAAAAGUGGUGGAGAGGCAUGCUUCUGGUUUGCUUCCUGAAAUGAGAAAAGAUGGUGGGUUGCACUUCAUUUUGUCUGUGAUGAUCUGAACUUCUACAAUGGUGCUUAGUUUCAUAUCUUUGGUUCUGUAAAACUGCAGAAUAUGAAGUAAGAGAGAAUCCAACUCUGCACACCUGGAUGCAGGGGGGACUGGAUUACAUCAUGUUGCAGUUCUUGAAUAUUGAUGGCAUCAGAACCAUCGGCAGUGUUCUGGGCCAGAGCAUAGCUCUUGAUUACUAUGGCCGGCAGGUAACGAUGUCGGAUCCAUAUACAUUCUUUUUAUAUUAUUGGAUGUGGAAAAUGAAGUCGACACCAGUAAUACUAAGAACUGUCGGUGAUCAAUCUAUUUCUGUUAGGUUGAUGGUAUGGUAGCAGAAUUUACUGACAUAAACCGUGGGAUGGAGAAAACCGGAACGUUUACGAUGGAUAGGAAGAAGCUGUUCCAGUUGGUUGGAAAGGCUAAUUCUAACCUGGCUGAUGUGAUUCUGAAGCUUGGUCUUUUUGAGAGGUAAAGAAGUGGAGAGAUCGAAGAAUCGAUGCUUACGUUGAAUAGUAUUAUGGGUAGAUAUUUGACUGACUUGUGUUUUGGGAAAAAUUGUAGGUCGGAUAUAGCUUGGAAGGAUGCGAAAUAUGCUCAGAUAUGGGAGUAUCUGAGGGAUGAAUUUGAAUUGACACAGAGAUUUGCAAGCCUUGAUUUUAAGCUCAAGUUUGUAGAGGUACCAUCAUCUAUACCAUCUUUCUUAUGUUCUAUCUUGUCAUUUUGCAGGAAAUAAAAACUUAUUGGUGAUUCAUUUUUUUUUUUUGUUUUGUUUAUGUGGAAUUUGCAGCACAACAUUCGUUUCCUUCAGGAAAUACUUCAGAACAGGAAAUCAGAUUUUCUGGAGUGGCUAAUCAUUAUCCUGAUCAGUGCUGAAAUCGCAAUUUCUUUGUACGACAUGGUCCGUAGAUCCUUAUGAUCAUCCUCUGCCAUUUUUUAAGCACAUUCUUCAUUGUGGUUACAAGGAAACACACGUAGGUGAUUUUUUUUUUUUUUUUUUUGAUAAGAAGAACACUUUCGUUUUCACGCUGUAAAGUGAUAACAAUGCUCAUAAAUCAGAUUUUUAGGAAUGAGUCUCGUCCUACAUUUGUUUCAGACUCCGCCAAUCUUCAUCUGCGUUUAUGCCUAUUUGCAGUCAAAACAAAAUUUGUGACAGACGAAAGUGUUCUUAAUCUUUUUCUAAAUAUUAUAUAACAAGGUUGCCAACAAAGCCUUUGGGUCGGGCUUCUUUGUUUUUGACAAGAGUGUCCAGUAUGUAUAAAAAGAGAAUAGCCCAUGAAAGAUUAGCAUAGAAUGGAUAUAAGAGAAGAGAUUCUAUUGCAUAAAAAGAGGGAACGUAUCGAAAGUGAAAAAUGUUUGAAAGGUGACGAACUCGAGUCCAUGCAAAUUAGUUUUGAGAUACAACUGAAUAUCAAUCAACAAAUAAAGUCCCCCAAAAAAGCAAUAUAAAAUAGGUCCUAAACAACAAAUGUUUCAAAUUUUUGUUU
rnacentral:lncRNA from 1 species